rnacentral:lncRNA from 1 species
GCUCUUUUUCCCAUAUUGCUAAAGGUUUAUCUGUUAUUGUAAUUUUUUUCCUUGCUGAAAUUACAUUUGGCCUCUCUUUCCUAUAAGUAAACAAAAGAGAAACCGAAACUUACAAUUUAAGAAUUUUAUUUCCCAAGAAAUAAAGAACAUUCUGAUCUUAAAAAAAAAUAAAUUACAACCAUUAGGAAAUAUUCAGAAAGUUAGUUCUACAGUUGCAUGAGAAAUAACAAUAACCAUAUGAUGGCAUUCAUCAUAAAUGAAUUCUUCUUGCUACUGAAGUAAAGGAAAAGUAUGACGCUAAUAUGUCAUGAUUCUACUAGGAAACUUGCAAACGUAACUUGUUCACUCUGUGCGGAACAUGAAAUAGCCUCAUUUGAUCAGUUGAUUAACAUAGAACAUGCGAUUACGAAUAUGAAGUCAAUCUUACAAAUAAUUGAGCUUUGAAAUGAAGACUAUAUAAAUCUAUUUUCAAUUGAGCUUGAGAUGGGGCCUUUUACGCGUAUAUAGAAACUAAAUGUUAAAAAGCUAAAGGUCGUGGAGACUAACGAACAAUUGAACUCUCAUAUGGCGGCACUCCAGAUCAAAACGGAUGAAAGUUCAUCAACUAACUUCGGCUAAAACAUUGUUGAUUUUUCUUCUUUCGCACAGGGAAAGGAAAAAAAAGGUCUCUAACAUCAAAAUUCAUUCAGGGGUCACUUGUAAACAAUAACUUGUUAAAGCAAGCAGCAAACUCAGAAGAUAACUACAUGACAUGUUUUCAAAUUCAAAACCCAAGAAAUUACUAGUUCAACGAAAGUAAUUAGUCCCUUGCUGCAAUCCAUUAAGGUUUUUGGACUUAGAGCCAUUCUCAUGCAGGUGCUACUCAUGGUCUCAAUCACUAAUAACAUCCAUGCUGUACACUAAGGCAUGGGAGCACAUAAAUAAUUUGAAUUUUUUUAUUUGUAGGGUCUUGGUAAUUAGUUAAUCUUUUUGGGCAACGACUUCGGAAGUCAAGUUUUCUCCUAUCAAGGAGUUAUCUGAUGAAGCCUCAUUGAUGAAAAAAAAAAAAAAUCAUGGCCUAGCUAGUUAAGAUUCCAAACAGAAAAAUCAGUGAUAAAUGAUUUGAAAUUCAAGAACUGUAGAUACUCAAUGCAGAGAGUGGAAAUUCACACAAAACAACCUAUAUUCCAGCUAUUAAAACAUCAAAUUAGAAAUAAAAAAUUAGACUGAGGAGAGGGAAGCUACGUACAUAUUUACUCUACCUCUUGGAACGAAAUUGAGGGCUGCGCGCUUAAGGUGGAGGAUGGACCCAUCCUCGAUACUGUAGUCCGCCAGAGAUUUGCCCCUCUCCAGUAGUUGGCCGUUGAAAUAAAGCGCAGUUGCUGCCUGCCAAGUUGGAAGAACGGAGACUAGAACGGUGACUAGAACAUCUUGGAUGGUGUUAGAGCUGUCCACCUCAAGCGCAUAAUUUCCAUAAUGUUCUGACUGCACAAAGAUUUUCAUUUCACCAUCUCCGUCGGGUCUCAUAGAAGAGCUAGACUCUGCACAGUUCAUCUUGGCUAUUUCUGUAGGACUAGUGAAGUUGCAUAUGUAAUACAUGUUAGUUUCUUUGUAAUAGAAUUUCACAAAGAUCCUAAGAUAUUUCUUGUACCAGUGCAUGCAUAUAUAACAAACAUUAAUAUUACUUCGGCAAAAAAGAAAAAUUAAGUUACAAAUUUGAUGGCUUUUGUCACAUGUAAAAGAGAUACAGGAUAAUUUGUUUAAAUUUUCUUCUUUCUUUUUUUUUUUCCUCUAGCCAUCUUAUCGAGCUGAUAUUCAGUUUCUGAUGGAAAUAAUCAAAAAAAUUCCUUCCCUUUUUUUUCUCUUUUCAAAAAUAAACUAAGUUUUUCUUCGUAUACUAAGUUAAAGCUUUUACUAAAAUACAUAUAUAGAUAUAGGGCCCGUUUGCCCUAAAUUCUGAAAAAGUAAUUUCUGCAGAAUUAAAUUUGAUUUUGAAAAUUAAUUUUGCUUAAAAAUUGUAAAGGGUCUGGCUAAGUUUAGAUAGAAAUCAUUUUUUCUAAAAAAAUUUUAUAAAUCUAUUUGGUAAAUUUUUCUUUUUUUCUGUUUGCGAAUAAUCGGAUAGAAGAGUUUAUGCAUCUAACACAAUAGGGCGGACGAGGACUACAUCUAGGAUAGAAGAGUAGCUCUCAGUUUUAUGUCUUAAUUAAUUUGUUGGCUUCAUGACCAUUCAAUUCAUCACGAUGUUAAAGAAAGUUACAAUUCAAGAAACUCAUGCGAAGUAGACAUGUAGUUGAAUCUCUUUGCUUGCAACGAGAAUGUAAUUUCCAUCUUUAGGUAAGAUCUUUAAAUCUGGGCCUAAAAUUAAUCAUAACCAAACCAAUUUAAAACCAUUUGGAAUCAAAAUCUAAGUUACUUAAUUUCAAAACAGAAAGGGAAGCAUACUCAUAACUAUGUGCCAACACCCGCGGAGUGCACUUCAGCUGAAGCACGGAGCCGAGAUUGAUUCCGUACUCGGCCAGGGUUUUCUGCUUCUCCAAUUCCAAGUCAUUGAAACAAAGCCUCGGCUCUGGCGCUUGCGCUGCCCUGUUGAGGCCGAGAAUCUCGACCAGCACAUCCUCGACGGUGUUAUCGCCGUCCGCUAGAAGAACAUAGUUAUGGACGGCGCCCAACUGCACAACGAUCUCCAUCUCGCUUGCGAAUUCAGGUUCCCCGACGGAGUCCCAUGGUUGCAUGUUGGAAUUCGACAGUUCCGCGACGGAGGCCGGCAACUCUACAGAAUCCGCCAUCUCCAGCGUUCCUAUAUAUAUAUAUAUACGACUAAACCAAUUAAGCAACAACAAUUGCAAUAUCAUGUUCGCAUGCAAACAUUGUAAAUCACUGUGAUAAUAAUAGUAGUUAGUACCUUCUACGAGGAAGAAGAAGAAUAGUCGUGUGAUGUUCCAAUAGUUUAACACACAAAAGAAAUUGCAUACGGAACUCACAUUAUGUGUAAUUGGGGUCCGACACGUUUACUUGGCUCGCUGUUACAAUUCUCUCGCUGAAGCUUCCUUCUCUCUGGCAUGCGACUAUUCUAUUUUCUGCACGUGGAAGGUUAGGAUAAAUUUAGAUCGAGUCCACGGAGUAGCGUAGGUUUGGACAAAAUUAGAUAAGAGUCUGACUUAGAAUUUGGUGAAAUGCAAAUAUGAAUGUCAAAAUUUAGCAUUUUUCAAUAUAUAUUUGUACUCGAAUUCAUAUUCAAAAAAAUAUAUAAAUAUGGAUACACCCUAUGAAAUAAUUAUUUAUUUUAGUAAAAUUAUAGCUGCGAGAAUUAUAUAAUAUAUAUUAAGUAAAUCUGUAAAGAGAGAUAAUAUAUUUAAAUCUUGAAGUUAAAGUAUCGUUGAUUGACUCAAAUCAAACAAAGUUAAAAAUACGUUGGAUAAUAAAAUCAAAUUUUUGAAAGAUUGAUUAACCAAAUGAAAAUGGUUCAUAGUUCAGACAAAUUUUUAUAUUAAUUUUGUAAGUAAAAAUAUACGAAACUUAUCUAAAUUGUAGAUUAUUUUGAGUUGGUUUACCCAAUCUUUCAAAAUUUUAAUUUUACUAUCUAAUAUUUCAAUUUGUUAGAUUUGAGUCACUAAUAGUAUUUUAAUUUCAAAAUUUGAAUGUAUUAUUUAUCUUUAUAAGUUUAGUUGGUAUAUCUCAUACAAUUUUUACAAUUAUAAAUUUAUUAAAGUAAAUAAUUAGCUUAAAUUUUGAAGUCAAAAGGCCGUUGAUUGGCUCACAUUAAGCAAAUUAAGAGAUUUGAUAGUAAAAUUUAAACUUUAAAAAGGUUAGAUAGUCGAUUUAAAAUAAUAUAUAAUUUAGACAAAUUUCGUUUGUUUUUAUCUUUUUUUUGUCUAUACUUCAUCCAAGGAUAACAAUGGAACGGUGCAGUGUUGUCAACGGAAAUAAAAAUGGAGUGCUAUUGAUUGUGAGAAGUGGGCCUUAGAUGGCUCAGUGAAGUUUCUCGUUAAGACCUUGGAGAUGUGGGUUGAGUGUAGACCUGGCAACGGGCGGAUUGGGUAACCCGUGGACGAGUUAUUAUAUCCGCUGGUUACUUGUAAAAUUUACUCGCAAAUUUUUGAAUAGCCAACAUCUUUAUCCAUACUCACCCACGGGUGGGCGGGUGGGUAUACGGGUUAUCCACAAUUUUUUUUUUUUGCUUUUAUUUUUUUAAAAUGCAAAAUAUAUAUAUUAGUUUAAAAAGCGUAAUAUAAUCUCAUUAUUUGAAAUAUCAUAACAUACAAUAAAAAUAUUUAAAGUCUUAAAGCAAAAAUAUUUUAUAAUAUAAAAGAUACGCAAUAAGAAUUUGGAUUAGAAUUUUUAGGAUAGGUAAAUAAAAAAUAUAUAUUAAUUAAGAAAAUAUAUUUUGUAAUUAAAAAAUAUAUGUGCGGGUACCCAUGGGUACCCGCGGGUUACGCAAAAUGCCCACUGCUUAAUGGAUACCCACCUGUUUUACCCGUAAUUUUUUGGGUUGGAAAAGUUGGUAUCCAUACCCAUAAAUUUAUGGGUAACCUGCAGGUACCUGUGGGUUUUGGUCAAAAUUGCCAGGUCUAGUUGAGUGAAUAGGAGCUCUCAACAAGUCCUUUUGAAGGUGUCCAAUUUACGAAGAACUUAAAAGAGUCGGAUUCUCUUUGAUAGUGUUUGGUUCGGGAACAAGGGGGGGAAUAAGCCCUUGUUCCCCCCUUUGUUCCCAAACGCAAUGUUUGGUUCCCGGAAGCUUAAAUUUUCUUCUUUUUUUUUUUUUUUUUUCCUCUAGCCAUCUUAUUGAGCUGAUAUUCGGUUUCUGAUAGAAAUAAUCAAAAAAAUUCCUCCCCCGCACCCCCUCCUUUUUCUUUUUUUCCACUUUUCAAGAAAUAAGACAAAGUUUCUCUUCAUACUAAGUUAAAAGCCUUUUACUAAGAUACAUAUAUCGAUAUAGGGCCGUUUGUCCUAAAUUCUGAAAAAUUAAUUUUACAAAAUUAAUUUUGAUUUUGAGAAUUAAUUUUGCUUAAAGUUGUAGAGGGUCUGGCUAAGUUUAGAUAAAAAGUAAUUUUUUUAAAAUGAUUUUGUAAAUCUAUUUGAUAAUUUUUUUUUUCUAUUUGCAAAUAAUAGGAUAGAAAAGUUUAUGCAUCUAACACAAUAGGACGGACGAGGACUACAUCUAGGAUAGAAGAACGCAACUAAAGUUUACCCAAAUUUAACCAAACCAAUACUAAUUAAAAUCCGGGUCUAAAUUUCUAGAAUGGAUUUCUCCCUUUAAUGUAAGAGCAACGUUCGUUUCUCUAAGUUGAUGUACAGAUGAAGCGUACUCAAAGAACUUAACAUUGAAAGAAAUUGUAUAACUUACCAGUACUUCGGUUGUUUAAUUAACUCUGUAUUUAUUUUGACUCUCGAUGAGAAGAUAGGAUCUACAUCAGGAGCAGGCAGGAUAACACAAUCUACGUAUUUGAAAAGAUAGGAUAAUNUGUUCCUUGGCGACAAUAACGAAGGCGGGGCCGUCUCCUCUUCCUCCGCCUCUGUCACAUCCCGGGCCCAAGUGGAAGCUUAUCCGGCACGUGUACAGACCCGUUGUGCGCACAAGGCACCCCUGGUGCACACAAUGCGUCUAUCACAAAACAUAUAACAGAGAAGGAAUGAGAGAGAUAAUAAGGAAAUAAACCUAUCAUGGUAAUCAGAGCAUAAGUACUAACAAAACACUAAAGCAACAAUCCAAUAGAGGAAAUAACGAGUUACUACAACAAAAGGGUACAACUAUUAUAAGAUAUACAUAAGUUGAUAAAAGAAGAAAUACAUCUCAGAACAUAUGGUAGUUUCUAUACAAAAUGGUCGGGUACACCCUUCGGGACAAAACAAAGAAAGGUGACCACCUAAGCAAAAAACUUCCAAAAAGGCUCUAGCUAGUCGCAACUCCCUUACCGCGGUCCUUACACAUGUGCUACAGGAAGCUGAAAACAAGAUUCACCUUACACGAGAGCGACUGAUCUCGGCUCAGAGUAGACAAAAAAGCUAUGCUGAUAAGUGUCGGCGAGAAUUGGAAUUCCUAAUAAGAGAUCAUGCCUUUUUGAAGGUCUCACCGACGAAAGGGAUUAAGAGAUUUGGUAUUCGAGGAAAGUUAAGUUCUCGAUUUGUUGGACCUUUUCAGAUCUUGGAGCAUGUAGACCCAGUAGCAUAUCGGCUUGCUUUGCUGCCGAACCUAUCGGGAAUACAUAAUGUGUUUCAUGUUUCCACGCUUUAGAAGUACUUUUUGACCUAGCUCACAUUUUGAACUCCACUCUAUUAGAGUUGACGAGGACUUGAGCUUUGAGGAGCAUCCUGUGAUGAUUUUGGCUCAUGAGGUGAAGAAACUUCAUAAUCAUGAAAUUCCCUAUGUGAAGGUAAUUUGGAGCAACCAUAACAAGCGCGAGGCUACUUAGGAGUUGGAGAGUGUGCUGUAGGAGCGUUAUCCCCAUCUUUUCCAGAUAGAUUCUUAGGUACUCAACUUUUAGUUUCGCGGAGGAAGCUCCUUUUUAGGAGAGUAGAGUGUAGCACACCGAACUUUAGUAAAUUGCAAUGUUCCAGUGUAGGAAUAGUGCUUUGAGCUAUUCUGAAAGUUUUGAAGGUUGUUUGGAAUGUUUUGGGCUGUUUUCGGAGCUAGUUAGGCACGAGAACAGGUUCCCGACAUCAAAACUUGCAUAUUGCAGAUUUUGGUGUUGAGUACCGGUACUGGAUUGAGGUACCGGAACUCAGUAGAGUGCCGAAAUGGACAGCUCUCGGAUUUUGCAGAAUCUAGCUGUGUGUACCGGUACUCAAUGCUGCAAAACCUAAUUUCGUGCAGUAUACUAUUUUUGGGUUUUUGAGGGGCCUGAUGAAAAUUGUUACAUUAUGUAGUAUAACCCCUCAUCCCCCUCACUUGUUCACUUUUGGGCUGAGGUUAGAGAAAGGAGAAGGUGAGUGCUCUCUCUCUUGGAUUUCUUCCUCCUAAUCCCUAAAAUCCUUGGAUUUGAUCUCUUCUUCUCAAUCUUCUAUAUUGAAGUUUGCUGCUUGGACCUUGAAGGGAGCUUGGGAGUGAAGAAAGGAGCCUGUUUGAGCAUUCAACUCCAACCUAGCAUUUUUAGCUUGGUUGGAGUUUUUGUUGAGAUUAGUAGUCUUUUUAAAUCCUCUAAUUGUGAGUUUUGUAAGAAUUUUGGAAUAAAACCUAGUUUUAAGGAAACUAUGAUUUAUUUUGGGAUUUCUUGAUUUGAAUUUUUUAGGUUAAAUUGCUGGGUGUUGAACCCUUUCUUAAGUUGGAUUUGAAGCCUUCUGACUUUGGUUUGGAUCUUGGACAAGUUCUACUUGAUCAAAGGUAUUUUUCACCUAUUUUUCUAUUGAAUUUUUGGUGAAUUUCGUUGUAAACUUUUUAGAACCUUGUAAUCCUUUGAAAAUUUUUCUUAGGAUGUUAGGAGUCUAAGAGAUAACUUCGUUUGGUGAAACGAAUAAGUAUCGAAUAAUAUCCGGUGAGUUUGACCUUACCGAAAUGGAUAAACUCUUCCUAUAUCUCCUAUAUUGCUAUAGGAUUUAAAUUGAUGCAUAUUCAUGCUAUUCAUGACUAGGGGUGUAAACGAGCCGAACACAAGCGAGCUGGGGUCGGCUCGUGUUCGGCUCGUUUAUUAAAUGAGCCGAACACGAGCUGACUCGUUAAAGUAUCGAGCCGAAAAAUCCAGCUCGUGUUAACUGGCCCACGAGCUGGCCAACAAACUUUGAUAAAUUAAAAAGAAUGAAAUCGAAAAGAUAUAAAAAAUAAAUUUAUAAAAACUUCAAGUCAUAUAGAUCAUGAUCUAACAGUGAAAAUCGUACAUAUGAAAGCUCAAUUUUUCGAAAACAAAUGGCUCGCAUACAGAUGCCUAGUUUGCUAAAAAUAAAAUAAUAAAAAAACACAUUAUAUAUAAUUAUUUAUUUAUAUAUAAAAAUAUAAAUUAAAUAAAUUAUAUAAAUAUAAAAUAUAUGUAUUCGAGUUAUUAUCGAGCCGAAUAGGAGCGAGCUGACCCCGGCUCGUGUUCGGCUCGUUUACUAAACGAGCGAUUCGAUCUCGAGCUCAUUUCGAGCCGAACACGAGCUGGCUUGCGAACACGCGAGCUGGAUUGCCACCCCUACUUAAUUCCAAACAAAAAGGGAACAAAAAGGGAAUAAAUCAUACUCAUAGGUGUGUGCCAACACCCGCGGCGUGCACUUCAGAUGAAGCAUGCAGCCGAGUUCGAUUCCGUAUUCGGCCAGGGUUUUCUGCUUCUGCAACUCCAGGUCAUUGAAAAAAAGCCGCGGCUCCGGCGCUCGGCCCGCCCUGUCGCUGCCGAGAAUCUUGACCAGCACGUCCUCAACAGUGUUACGGCAGCACACUAGGAGAUGGUAGUUGUGGGUAGCGUCGGACUGCACAGUGAUCUUCAUCUCACUGGCGAACUGAUCAGGUUCCCCGGCGGAGUCCCACUUGGAGUUCCACAGUUCCGCGACGGAGGCCGGCAGCUCUGCAGUAUAUAAAUGACUAAACCAAUUAAGCAACAACAAUUGCAAUAUCAUGAUGUUCACAUGCAAACAUUGUAAAUCGCUGUAAUAAUAAUAAUAGUAGUUAGUACCUUCUUAUAUAUGGAUCAAUUAAUUAAUUACAGCGAGUCAAAGUAUCACAGGCCACAGCAACUCCGAGAGAGAAAGAGAGAUACACAAAAAUAAUAGAAAGAAGAGGGAGGAUUUAUAGAAAUAAGAGGACUUAGUGAGAAAGAAGAAGAAUAGUUGUGACGUUCCAAGAAAUUGUUCGUACGGAUCUCACAAUGUGUGUAAUUGGGCCCGACGAAAACGCGUUUACUUGAUUCACUGUUAUUUCUCUCUCUGGAAGCUUCCCACCUCUUUCUGGAGUACUACUUUUUUCUUUUCUUUUCUUUUCUUUUCUUUUCUUUUCUUUUCUUUUCUUUUCUUUUCUUUUCUUUUCUUUUCUUUUUUUUUUUAAAAAAAAAAUAGCAAACCAACAAAAACAACAAAAACGUACAGAGAAAAAAAGACAGCAACUCCGAGAGAGCUGACAUUCACUGUUAUUUCUCUCUCUAAAAGCAGCAUGAGCUUGAGAACAGAGCCAGAAAAACACGAAACAAAACAAAACAACAAAAACAGAGAGAAAAAGAAGAGUAGAGGAACAGAGAGAAAGGAGAGAAGGAGCAGGAGGAUAAAUUUUCUUUUUUUCUUUUUUUUUUUCAGCAAGUGGUAGUCGUAGGUUGGAAUAAAUUUAGAUCGAGUCCACACGGAGGCGUAGGUUAGGAUAAAAUUAGAUGAGUCUGAAGUAGAAUUUGAUGGAAUGCAAAUAUGGAUGCCAAUAUGGGGACUCAUCUGUAAAAAAUUAGGAAGCUCCUAUUUAAUUUACCUUUUUCUAUAAUCUCUUGUUAAAUAUAAAAAUAUUUAAACACCGUUCUCUAACAGUUUAAGCUUUUAGAGUACAACGAUUGUUUCACAUGGUAUCAGAGCAGGAGAUCCUGAGUUCGAGUCACGCCAGGCUCCUAGCAUAUUAAUUUCCUCCCAUUUAAUUCAAGCCCACGUCAUGGGACCCAGACGUGAGGGGGAGUGUUAAAUAUAAAAAUAUUUAAACACUAUUCUCUAACAGCUUAACCUUUUAGAGUACAACGGUUGUUUCACAUCUCUCUCCAAGAUACCCGAUCGCAUAAGAUGUUUACGCACCAUAUAAAUUCUAUAAAUCUACUAUUCUAUACAUAACCUUAUCGUGCGGACGCAUUCGUAUACGGAUGAAUUAUGAUUAGAUGAAUUAUGGUUAGAAAAUUAUUUAUGUACUUAUAUCAAGAUCAGUACUGUUGAUCUUAAUUUGAAGUAUUCUAUUUUCUUUUUUUAUAAGGUUUUUAAAUUUGAACCAUUCAUUUUGUGGCAGCAUGACGCACUUGACAAUGAUAUUAUAAAAAAAAAUUAUGAACUUUCAAUUCCUAACAACUUAGAAAAUCUUAGAUUACGCUUAAUGGUGUGAAUUACUGAUUCAAAAGUUCUAUUAUCGAAAAUAAGACUAUAACACAAAAUACUUUGUGCCGUUAAUAUAACGCUAGCUUAGCUUUAUGCUUUAAUUUUCAAAACUUUUGAGAGAAUUCACAUCUUCAAAGUCCACUAAUAAAAGAAGAAUUUUAAAAAUUCAUCAAGUAAAUUCAAGAUAUUAAUCAUUUUCCAGGACCAAAGGGCCAAUCAUCUCUUCGAAUAAAAAACAACUAAAGAAGAAACAAAUCCUUCACAUAACUAUGCUCCAUCAAAAUAAUUAACAAACACUAAUUUAACUUGAAAACUUAAUAUAAAUUUUUUGCUUAUAUUAUUCUUUGAAGAGUGCCUCUUUAAUCAUGGUUACAAUAUGUGAACUAUGGUAUGUACAAUAUAUUUGUGAUAUGAUUUGAUAUAGCAACCUACUAAGUUUUUUUUUUGAGAAAGAGGUAGCGAGCUAUCUGCUUCAUUCAUCAAGCAAAAUGAACUAAGCGUACAUGAUGAAAGCAGCUAAGGCCUCCUAUGAAGCGGAAAAAAAUAGAAAAUGAACAAGGAAGGAAAAAUAGAGCUAUAGGAGAAAGCUAUAGAGCUAGGACAGGUGAUGCGGAAACACAAAAGAGAGAUAUCCGGAAGAAAAAGAAAGGGAUCACAGGUCGUUCCCGGCAUUCAUCAAGGCAAGAACGUCCAGUCGUUCGUCAUCAAGCAACCUACUAAGUUACAAUCCAUUUGGAUGUAUAUGGUGGCUAAUAACAUAAUCAUAAUAGGACCAUCAGAUAACAUCAUAUAGUAGGUACUAAGAUGAUGCACAAUUAAAUUAAUGAGAAAUGACAUUCAAUAAAGUUGAAAUCAUUCUCAUGUUUACUUUGUGUGCAUAAUAGUCAAGUAACACAUUUUCAAAUAAUUGUUUGCUUUAUUACAGUUACAAUGCACAUUCAGAGUUUGUAGAUGACAAUGAACAAAAUGUAUGAAAAUAUAGUGUUGUUGUUCUUCUCCAAAAAGCUCUGCUUCGGGUUUUGCCUGCGCGAAUGCCCAAAUAGUUUGAAUCAAUUCAAGUAUAAAAAAGGAUCGAUAGUGUUGGAUAAAGAAUAAUAAUAAUAAUAAAUACGGUUAGUAUACCUUAAUAUAUCAAUUCCAUUCAUUAUCUGUAGCAAUUACUACGUGACGUUGGUAAUCCCACCUACGUGUUGGUUGUUGCUCGAUGUUGUUCACCGUUUCAUAUUCGGUUGUGUAAAAGCUCAACCGGUCUUUCAAAUCUUCAACUUCAUAAUUCGACGCUGUUGCCUUGCUGAAUCUAGCCACUAUGUUAUGCAAAGCAUCCAUUUUAAAGCCUUACCCGUCUCUCCCGCCAUUAUGCACAUGUUUUACCAUCAAAUCAAGCAGUGCUUUGGGGUAGCGUUCUUCAGCCAAAUUGCUAAAAGGUUGGUUUCCUCUUUUGAUGGUUAAUUCAUUGUAGUAUUAUUUUUGUCAGCUCUCUAUUCUGCAAGUGAAAUAAAACAAGAAUAUCCUAGAAAUACUUUUAGGGUGCGUUUGGUUCGCAUUAUGAAAGAUUACUAGGAAGGAAAAGAUGUCCGAGAAUCUUAUUCCUAUUCAUCAUAUUACUAAGAAUGUGGAAUUCCUGUGUUUGGUUCGCAUGGUCAUAUUAUUUAGCCAUGUUAUUUAAGAUUACAAAAAAUAUACAAUUAAUUAAUUUAUUUUUUAAAUUAAUUUUAGAUAAUCUACCAAAAAUUUCAACAUUUUUUUAGAAAAAAGGAAGAGAGAGCAUAGGUUAGAAAGAGAGAGCAUAAUUAAAAAAAUAGUAAGAGAAAUAGAGUCGAAAUUAGAGGGAGUGAGAGAGUUGAGAUUUUAGAAAAAGAGGGAGAGAGAAAGCUUAGUAAGAGAGAAAAAGAGUUAAAUUUUAGAGAGAAAGAUAAGUUUAGAGAGAGAUGUGAGAUUAUAGUAUGAAGAAAAAUAAUACCAAUUAGCCGACGGAUAGGGAGAAAGAAAGAGAUUAGACAUAUUAUGAUUACCCCAAUCCAUAUUAUAGGAUACCCACCCUUUCUCAAGAGAAUGAGAUUAGUACUUUGGGAUGAAUCUUAUUCCCAAGUAAAUCCAAUAUUACUAACUAGAUUACUUAGUGCGUUUAACCAAACACCGUCAUAUUUUUUUAUUCCUAUUGGAUUACUAGGAAUCUUUAAAAGAUAGCGCGAAUCAAACGCACCCUUAAACUAAAAUAACAGAGAAUAAUGAUGAUUGAAAAUAGUAGAAAAUCGUAAUCAUAGAACAUCAUUGUGGACGGCGUUUCGACUGCAUGCACAGUGAUCUCCAUCUCACUGGCAAAGUCAAGUUCCACAACGGAGUCCGGCGGCUCUACACAAUCCAUCUCCACCAACUCUAUAUGGACACAUUGUGUUGUUCAAAUAAUCACAUUCAAUAUAGAAAAUCUAGUGACUUACGAAAUCAUUGAGGGAGCAUUAAUAUAAGCUUACACUAAUGAUAGAUGCUAACAUAAAUACAUAUUUAAAUAGAUCAGAAGUGGCAUGCGCAAAAUAUAGUGUAACAAUGUUUGCCUCGGUCAAGAGGCGAGAUUAUUGUGAGAAUGUUGAGAUCUCAUAGCUAGAGAACGAAGAGAUUACAACACUAUUUUUAUUUCAAGAGAGUCACUCAUAGGAAAUCACGAUAUUUUAUUUUUUUUUCUCGACAAACACACUUUCAUAUAAAUUAAUAUACGGUACUUUUCUGCUUCGAUAGUCCUUCGCACUAGGAUUUUCCUGUGAAAAAGGAGAAAGGUUUGAAUAAAUUGGAAUUAAGUACUAAACACUUCGAAAAGCAAUGUGGUAGUAUACCUGAAUAUACUUAUUCCAUGCAGCAUCUGUGGCAAUUACUACUUGAUGUUGAUGAUCCCACCUAAACUCCGGACGAUUCUUGAUUUUUCCCACUAUUCCAUAUUCACGUUUAUAAAUCUCGAAGCGAGCAUGCAAAUGUUUUUCUUCAUAUUUCAUGCCUGUUGCUUUAUUGAACUCGGUUACUAUAUCACGCCAGGAAUUAUUUUUAUAGUCUAGUAUUUUUCUCCCUCUUGAUUGAAUUUGCUUUACCAAUAAAUCAAGCAGUAUUAGAUCAUGCUUUUCUUCCCAUAUUACUGAAGGGCGAUACGUUAUUUUAAAGUAUCUCCAAAUUGGCUAUCGUACAAUUGUCACUUCCCCCCCACUCGCCGCGACCUCUUCGCCAGCCAAGGCGGCCGCCUUGUCCGUUGAAUAUUCUGCGGCCCCUCCCCUCGCCGCAUCCGCCUCUUUGGCCGGCGAACGGGUGUCCGUUGACGUCUCGGGUGGCGGGUCGUUUAAAUUUUCAAACCUCUCCGCUGUCCCCGCAUCCCUAGACAACGGUGACAUCAGGGCUGCAGACUGCCGCCUUCAGCUUUCACGCCCCCCUUUCGCCAGCUGUUUUGCUAACGCCUUUUUGGCCCCUGUACCCGCGAAGGGAAGCUUCGUAUCUCUAUCCCAGGGAUCCCUUCUGGCAGAAUUAGACAAAAGGAGCUCUGGGGGGAUUUUCUUCUCCCUCGGGAACCGGCGGAGUUUCUUCCUACGAUUCUCUACAUCCUUCUCGUUUUCUGUGCGGCCCCCCUCCAAACUAGUUGUCGGAUCUCUCGGAUCCCUCCUUCUGCAUGCUUCCUUCGGGUCGGAUGUGUGGUUCGGAUCCGCAAACCUUCUCUCCUGCCACCUGGGACCCAAUUGGACCCUUAUCCGGCGCCCUGGGCCAGACCUAAGCUCGGGCGGGCUUUCUGCGUCCACUAAUGCCCCAUGCUGGCUCCCACCCUCCUGGUGCUUGGGCUUGGGCCGCGGCUCGGGCCCGGGCUCGGCCACGGGCGGCCUGGACGCAGGCAUCGUAAUGGACUUGGGCGUGGGCUUCGGUGUCGACUUGGGUGCCGGGUCGGGUGCGGCCCUGCGCUCAGGCUCGGACGUGGGCUUGGAGGAGGGCUUCGACGAGGUCUUGUCUGCGGGCCUGGAACCGGACCGGGGCGAGGGCUUGGGUGCAGGCCCAGACGAGGAUUUGGAGACACGACUGGGCGCGAGCUCGGCCGACGACUUGGGCGCGGGAUCACCCACGGGCCUGGGCGCCUUUAAGGCUCCAAGCGACCUUGCGGGAGGUUUUGGACCGGUCGAGCUCGAGCGCCCUGAGGUGGCGCGCGGGGACAGCGGAGGCAGCGGAGGGGCGGCGUCGGAAGGCGGAGGCAGAGGAAGCGGUGGGGGUGAGGGUGUUCUUGGAGGCGGCGAAGAAGACGGAGAGAGGAGAAUGGGGGCUAUGGGUUUUACGGUUCGGGACGGAGGGGUGCGGGGUCUUGUAGUUGGAGACGUCGCGGAAGAUGUGGCCGCAGCCUGGGCCGUCGGGUCGGGCGUAGAGGGAGCAAGCUUCGCCAUGGGCAUGGGCGCAGACUGCGGCGCCGGGUCGGGCUCGGCCUUGGGAGCGGGCUCGGCCUCCAUCGUGGACUCGGGCGCAGAGUUUGGCGCCGGCUUGGGCGUGGCGUCGGGCUUCGAGGCGGGCCGGGGCGCGGCCUUGGCCGUGGGCUUGGGCGCAGACUUGGGCGCCGGCUUGGGCCAAGCCUUCAAGCCCAAGGGACCUUGCGGGCCGGGGCGCUUGGGGGCGGGCUCGGCCGACGGCCUAGGCGCGGGCUCGCCUGCGGGCCUGGGCACAGGCUUUCCAACCUGCAGCACCCACCUGGCCUUGAUUUCCACUUGCAGCCACCCUCCCAACUUGGACCGUCCCACCUCGGAUCCACCCAGAUCUAGCGGAAGAGUCCGCAGCCAGUUUCCUGGCUCUGUUUUACGCAAGGCCAUGCUCAGAAAGGCGCAACUACUCGAAGGCGACCCAGCUAUUCCCAGUCACUCUACGCGCAAAUGGUCCAAGAAAAAAGUUAAGGCGAAAGGUCUUCGCUGCGGGGUGGACCUUCAUGAAGAGGCCGUUAAGGACUUCCUUGAGUUCCUGAGUGGGAAGGCCUAGGAGCGGCUGGAGGAGCCGCGGGUGUUGUGUUUCGUGUGUCUUUCCUUUCUGAUGUUUAACAUUUUGUGUUGGAAUGUUCGGGGUCUCAACGACCCCUCUAAGCGCCGUUGUGUCAAGUCUGUUGUCUCCAGUCGUGUUCGUUCUGUCAUCUGUCUCCAAGAAUCUAAAGUGGAUAGUGUGUCUCGCUCUUUUCUUCGCUCUUGCUGCGGAUCUGCUUUUGAUAGAAGCCACUUUAUUCCUGCAUCUGGGGCUUCUGGUGGGCUCAUCACUUGUUGGAGCUCCAAAUUCUUCUCUUGUAGCGAGGUUAUCGUGAGAAAGCACUCUCUCACUCUCCAUCUAUCUUGUCUCAAGAGUAAAAAGCAUUUCUUCCUCACGAACGUCUACGGGCCAUCUACCUGGGACGGCAAGGAUGAAUUCUGUCUCGAGCUUCUCUCUUUACGCGGGGUUUGCACUUCCAACUGGGUGAUCUGCGGAGAUUUUAACUUUACCAAAAAUCAAUCUUAACGAAAGGGAAACCUCUGGAGCUCUAAGGCGAUGGCUAUGUUCUCUGAUCUGAUUUCCAACUUAGCGGUCAUAGAUCUCCCUCUGUCCAACCAAAGCUUCACUUGGUCGAACAUGCAACGCAGACCCACACUGGCAAAACUAGACAGGUUCCUCGUUUCAACUGAAUGGGACCAAUCUUUUCCUCACAGCAAGGUCAAAGCCCUCCCUAGGAUCACUUCCGAUCACGCACCGAUCAUCUUAUCCACCGAAGCGCAACUCAUACCCAGACGAUUCCGAUUCGAAAGGGUUUGGCUCACUAAAGAAGAUUUCCACUCGAAGGUGCCAAUCUGGUGGAAUGAAAUUGCUGACAAGAAUUCGGGUAUCCUCACAAUUACUGCCAAACUCAGACACUGCCGAACCAGAAUUAAAGAAUGGUGUAAGACGAGUUUCUAUAGCAUAUCGCUCUCGAAGAAGAUUUUAGAGGACGAACUGCAUGACAUUGAUCUCUUAGAAGAACAACACGACCUCCCCCAAGAUCUAAUAGACAAGCGAGCCAAUCUCAAACGUCAUCUACUCUCUAUCUUGGGGGAGGAAGAAAUCCUUUGGAAAACUAGGGCCAAACAACAAUGGCUAAAGGAAGGCGACUCCAACACUAAAUUUUUUCAUGCAGUGGCUAACGGGCGAAAACGCUCCAACUCGAUUGAUGUGAUUGAAGACAACUACGGGAGAGAAAUCACCAACGAAGCUACCAAACGGUCAUUCUUCCUGCAAGCUUUUAAACAACGGUUUGGACAAGCAGACGACAGAGCGAUAUCUUAUGGGGAUUGGAGUAACCUUUACCUCUCUAAUAGACUGCACAAUGCUGACUCCCUUACGUCCCCCUUCACAAUCGAGGAAAUCAAAACCGCCACCUUCCAACUUGGAAGCGACAAGGCCCCGGGACCAGACGGCUUCCCCCUCUCCUUCUUCCAAACUUUCUGGGAGACUGUCAAAACGGAUAUUUUAAAAGUUUUCACUGACUUGCAAGAUAAUAAUCUCUUCACCGGCCCCUCAGACUACUCACUUCUUUGCCUAAUCCCGAAGAAAGAAGGAGCACGCAAGGCCAACGACUUUCGUCCAAUUAGCCUUAUCAAUAGCAUUCAAAAAAUCAUUUCCAAAGUCCUGGCUAACAGACUAGCCCCCACCCUGUCAUCUAUUAUCUCACCAACUCAAUCGGCUUUUCUCAAAGACCGGUUGCUGAUGGACUCGUUCGUAACAGCAAGUGAACUAAUUAACUGGUGUUCGAAGACUGGAAAGGAAUGUGUAUGCAUUAAAGCGGACUUUGAAAAGGCCUUUGACAACGUACGCUGGGACUUCCUGAAAAGCAUUUUGCACUGGCUUGGUUUCAACGACAAAUGGUGGGCAUGGGUUGAGCAGUGCAUCUGCAACGCCAAAGUAGCCAUUUUAGUCAACGACACCCCGACUGAUUGGUUUAAGAUGAGAAAGGGUCUUAGACAGGGCGACCCCCUCUCGCCCUACCUCUUUAUUUUGGUGGCUGACUGCUUAGCUAGAUUGACUGAUACUGCAAGGAAUAACAACCUUCUCCGUGGUAUUGGACCGUCCACUGAUUGUCAAACUACGCUGAUUCAAUACGCGGACGACACAAUUUUCUUCUCCGAGCCUAGAAAACACUUAAUGCGAAACCUACAGUUUAUUUGGUAUAUCUUCGAGUGGGCUUCAGGUCUGAAAAUCAACAUGGACAAAUCAGACCUGUAUUAUCUGGGCCCUAACCCCCAAAGAGCCAACAGACUUGCUAACAUCCUUGGAUGUAAAGUUGGGAAACUCCCGUUCCGCUACCUCGGUCUACCGCUUUAUAAUAAACACCUACGAACGGAAGAUUGGGCUCCGGUCAUUGAUCGCAUAUCAGCAAGAAUCGAGGGGUGGAAAGCCAAACUCCUAUCCUAUGGGGGUAGACUCACGCUCGUCAACUCGGUUCUCACUAACUUGCCGCUAUUUUAUUUCUCCAUCUACAAAGCGCCGCAAUGGGUUUUACACAGGAUCGAAUCACUUAGAAGAUCUUUCUUCUGGAAAGGCUGCGCUAGCAUCUCUGGAGGAGCCUGUCUUGUCAGUUGGAAGUCCAUCUGUAAAAGUAAGAAAGAAGGUGGGUUAGGGAUCAAAGAUUUGGAGGGAAUGAAUCUGGCGCUGCUAUCUAAAUGGUGGUGGCGCUUCUUCAACGAACCACAAUUACUGUGGCCCAAAUUGAUUUCAUGCCUCUAUUAUGUCAGAAGAAGACCUUUACAUGAGGGAAGAAGUUUUGUACCCCACUCGCAGUGGUGGAAAGGUGUUCUGCAAUGCCGCGACGCCUUCAAAUGCGGUUUAUCUUUUGAGCUUGGCGAUGGUCGGAACAUCAGGUUGUGGUCCGAUAUUUGGAUUGGUGAAACAUCUUUGAGCACCUUGUUUCCAGACAUCUACGCUCAAAUCGCGAACAAGAAAGCUCGGAUAUCUCAAUGCUGGAACCAUAAUGGAUGGAGAUGGCGUUUUAUCACUAGAGGCUUCGCGGCGCCCCGAUUGGCCCACAGUGGUAGACAGCUGCAAUUACUCAAAGACACACUUACAAGCAGACACCCGUGCAGCAGAGAAGANCAACGGCCGAAAACUCAAUAGUACCAAGGACUAGAUAUAUAUAUAUAUAUAUAUAUAUAUAUAUAUAUAUAUAUAUAUAUAUAUAUAUAUAUAUAACUAUCAGCAUAUAUUGAUAAAAUACAUCGAAAAUGAAUUCUUCAUUUAAUGUAUAAUAAAAUAUCAAAGCAUAAAUGCAUGUGACUAAUUAAUAUGUCCUGAUUACAUACCGCCCCAAAUGCAAUUAACAAAAGAUUUAGUGGUUGGUGUCCGAGCCUUCAUGUUUGAAUUCUAGUUGAUUCACAUUUUUCGAAUAGCAUGCUAUCUUUCUCUUAUAUAUAUAGAGUGAGGCUAUUAUGCUAUUGAUAGCACAACCUCACUCAUGCUAGUGAUUUUUCUAUCAUUGGAUUGCUUUGAGAUCCGUGAUAUAACUUAAUGGGAGAUUAACGGAGAGGGAGCCGUUAAGUUUCUCUCACGCUCUCUCUCCCCUCUCUCGAUCUUCCUGUCUCUUACUCCCCCCCCUCUCUCUCUCUCUCUCUCUCUCUCUCUCUCUCUCUCUCUACGCCUUGGUCCAGACCGAGCUUCGCCGCACGCCCCCGUCGCUCCCUGGCGCUGCCCCCCGCAUGCCGCCGUCGCUCCCUGGCGCGCGCACUUAAACGAGGUAUGAUUUUUUUUUUUUGUUAUUACAACUAAAAAAUAGAUCUACAACUUUAUAUUUGUUUAUUUGAUUGGUUUGAUUUGUUUUUUUUUUUCCUGAUUUUGUUUGUUUGUUUGAUUUUUUUUUUUACAUUUAACCUCUCAUAAAAAAAAUUUAAUUUUGACUUUUUUUUUCAGAUUUUUUUUUUGACAUUUCGUUUGAUUUUUCAGAUUUUGUUUAUUUGGUUUUCAGACUUUAAAAGUUCAAAAAUCUGAAAAUCUGAAAGGAAAAAAAAAAAUCUGAAAUGGUUAGCUUUUUAUAGUUAUAGUUAGUUUUUUAUAGUUAUAGUUUUAAAGGUAUUUCUUUUAAUUUGAUCUCUCAAAAAGAAAAUUCUGAAAAACACUAGCAGAGGAGGCUUUCUUUAAAAAAAAAAAACCGAGAGUUUCCAACAGAAUGCCAACAGAAUGCACAUAUAUUCGAAUUUUGAACAUUCAAAGUAAACACUAGUAAGGAAGGCAUUUUUAAAAAAUUCAUUUAAAUGCUUAAACUAUUAUAUAAAAAUGCUUUUAAUAUUAUAUUUAUAUUUAUAUUUAACAUGUGUUUGUGCGGAUGCAUUUUUUUUUAGUAAAAAUGUCCGGAGAAACCAACUGUACCUAGUGCAGUUUGCUGAGGGGAUGAUGAUUGCUACUGAAGAUUCCAAGUAAGAAGUCUAAUUGAUUUAGAUUUCUAAUUAAAUUCAUUUCUAAAGAAAUAAACAAAGCACUCAAGCUUCCUUUUUCUCCACAAAAAAAAAAAAAAAAAAAAAAAAAAAAAAAAACAAACAAGGAGAACCCCUAACUUAUAGGCUAAAUAUUCCACUCCGCCCCUUCUACUUUAGUCAAAAAAUAAUUAAGAGUUUUUAUCAAACUGAUUGAUGAAUUUAUUAAAAUAAUAAUUUACAUCAUUUUUUUAGAGAAUAGAACUAGACAAAUUAACAAAAAAUAGAGUGAAUAAAUUUGAUAAAAAAUAUUUUUCUAAUUAGGAGCUGUUUGGUUCUACGGAAAAGAAUGGAAAAAGUUUUUAGAUUAAAUUUUUUUAUGGAAAAUCUCGUUUAAAGUUUUCCACAUGUUUGGUUCUAAGGAAAAAAAACUUUUUUGAAAGGAUUUUUUUUCCUAAAUUUUAUAAAGAAUUAGUAUUUUUGUUUCCUGAAAUUUUUUAGAAAAAUAGAAACACUUACUUUUCAUAAAAUCUGAAAUUUUUUUUUUUCAAAAAAGCUAUUCUUUUAGAAUCAAACAGGAGAAAAUUAGAAAAGUAGUUUCUUAUAAAGAAUCUUUUUCUUGAAAAAUAAUUUUCUAUACUUUUUGGAGGAAUCAAAUAGCCCCUUAAAUAUAACCCAAGAAAAAAAAAGAUGAAGUUGAGGGGAUGUCAAUUAAAAAAAAAAAAAAAAAAAUUUUAGUUUUUAUAACUAACAUUAUUUAAUUUUAAAAUUUAGAAGUUGAGGGGUCUCAAUCAAGGGAAAAAAAAAAAAAAAAAAGAGUUAAGGAGUCUAUUUUAGAAUCGCCAAAAUUUUCUCUAUUUGGUUGAACAAUUGUUUUUCUCCACCUAUUUGUUUUGAUUAUCUAUCCUAUCAUCAAUUAAUAAACAUCUUUAAUAGCUAUGCAAUGUUUGCUUGAUGCUAUAUGCCUUAAGAGCUAUGCAAUGUUUUGUUUUGUUUUUCUUUUUUUUUUUCCAACACACAGGGGAUUGAAUCACUGACCUCCUCCACCCUUCACUCCUCUCCCCAAAACAAUACACAUCAUCUACACUAGCACAUCUACACUAGCAGCUGGGUGUAGCUAUGUAAUGCUUUAAUUUGGGGAGUUAGUUUGCAGUAGAAGGAAAAUUUUGUCUUACGUUUUUUGCUUUUUAUCUUCUUAUUUUCUUCUUUUUUAUUUUGGGUAAAUUGUAUAGAACUUGCUUGGACUGUGGAUCAUUCUGGAUUGGUUAUACAACCUUCAAAAUUAUCUUCUGUGAAUAAAUUAUCUUUUACAAAGUAAGCUCCUUAAAUUGAGGGGCUUCUAUAUUCCUGAAUAAAUUAUAUUCUUGAAUAAUAUCGUAUAUGUGAAACAAUAAAAGAUUGGUUAACAAAAGUGUAUCCGCACAAAGAGAGAGAGAAGAAACAGAGAGAUGUAUCCAGAGAGAGAGAGAGAGAGAGAGAGAGAGAGAGAGAGAGAGAGAGAGAGAACUUUGGUAGGUGAUGCUAGUAACAGGCUAGCAACACUUUUGGAAUAGAAUGAAUUUGUUGAAUUUGAUAAAAUAACAACACCUUUCUAUUCCUUUUUCUUUCUCAUAUUCAUCAAGUGUUUUUUUUUUUGUUUUUUUUUUGGUUCAUACACAACUGUUCUUCAUUUUCAAUCCACAUUGGUGAGUCAAGGUUCAUUACAAAUUUUUGUUCACUGAAUUAUAGGGUGACAUACAUACCUCAAUCUGCAAUACAACAAUGGAAGCCAUAGAAGGGAUGGCCCGUCUAGAAGUGCCUCUAAUUUCUGUUGCUGAUGAUGUUGGCACAUCUAGUGAAAAGGUCAAUAGCGGAAUUGCUGAGGAGGCUACUAGUUCAGUCACCGAAUCGAGUAUGAAUGUGGAUUGUUGGAUUAAAGAGGUGGAGAAAAAAUGCAAGGGCGCAUCCGAAGGUUUGCUAUGGCAGUCCAAGAUGCCCGACGAUAAAGGAGAGCAGUUAUCUCAACAAAGGGCAGUGGCGAUAGGGCCAUUUAAUAGGGACAAGAGCACACAUAUUACUGAUAAAGAAAAAUAUUUGAUUGUCCACCUGAUGAAUAAUCUAUACGAUCAUCUUGACUUGGAAGGCUGCUUCAAAAUGAUAAAAAAUCAAGUAGUAGAUGCUCGCAAAUGGUACUCCGAUUCAGAUAUGCCUGAAAGCUUUGGCUCUACAAAUGACAACACAUUUGCAGAGAUGCUGCUGCUAGAUAGCUGCUUCAUCUUGUUUAUGUUGACGUCCAUCAGUGAGAUUCAUAGUAAAGUGACUCGUGAGGGAGUGAUUCUACAUAGACAUUAUUGUUCAAAGAGCCUAAAGAUUAUGCCGGGUAAGCUGUUUGGAGCCGAUUCUUCAAAGAAGCAGGAGAUUAAGCUGGCUCUAGACGUCGUGCCUAGAUUUGCCGGCAUAUUACGUCACAAAGACAUGAUCAUGGUGGAUUUGCUGACCCUCCAAAACCAAAUCCCUUUCUUUGUGAUCGAGGAGCUAUUUAAGAAGCUCCAGUUGGAGAAUCCACUCCAUAAAUAUGCCCUCAAGUUCUUCAAGACAGUCCAUCCAAGGUCCACGCAAGGUUGCAAGGGCAAAAAUAGUCCUCCCAAAUUCCUACAUUUGCUCCAUCUUUUCCACUGGUCUCGAGUCCCAAAGAAUAAGUGUGAUGUACUUAGAUCAUGGCGUCCCCAGCUAGAUGAUUUUUACUGGGAUUGCAAAACUCCGAGUGUGAUGGAACUUGGAAAAUCCGCCACAGGGUUCAGAAAGAAAACAUCAGGCAGCUCACUGGAUAUCUCAUUUGGGAGGGGUAGGCUUCUACCCAUUGUCCCGGUGCUCAACAUCCCACGCUUACACAUCCGUGAAUAUAGCAGCCGCAUCUUCCGUAACCUCAUUGCUUUUGAGAUGCAACGUCCAAGAUCGGAUCGCCGCACCAUGGCUUUUUCUGUAAUUAUGCAGAACUUGCUGCAAAGCGAGGAAGAUGUGAAGCUGUUUCGGCAAUGUGGCAUUUUGGCGAACACAUGCAUGACCGACAACAAAAUCGUUAAUUUUUUCAAAAGCUUGAGUCUAUCGAUCGGAAAGGAUGAUAUGCCAAUCGAUGUGUAUGUCUUUUGUCAUCAGGUCCUGUCUUACCACAAUGGUCGAAUCAGUUGAUUCCGUGCCAACGCCAUUCUCAAGUACUUCCCCAACUGGUGACUUUUUCUGUGUUCCCAGCUCCCAUGCUUGUUGUUCUUACCCUCCAGCAAACCCUAUAUUCUAUGCUCAGCUUCUAUAUAUCAUUGUUGAAUGCCCCAAAUUCUACUCAGUAUGAUGGUAAUGCAUGCAUAUAUAUAUUAUCGAACUAAAAAACAUUUUGUACCAAUGUUUAUGGACCACCAUCUUGGGAUGGAAAAGAAGAGUUCUGUGAUGAGCUCCUUGCUUUGGGAGCGGUUUGUUCCAACUAUAAAUGGGCUAUUUGUGGAGAUUUCAAUUUUACCAGAAACCAGGCUGAACGCACCGGGAACCGGGGGAGCAAUAAAGCGAUGUCAAUGUUUUCAGACCUCAUUUCAAAUCUCGAAGCCAUCGAUCUGCCUAUUGCCAACCAAAAUUUUACUUGGUCGAACAUGCAAAGCGCACCGACCCUGGCCAAACUGGAUAGAUUUCUUGUCUCGACGGAGUGGGAUCAAGCUUUUCCGCUUACCAGGAUUUCCGCACUACCUAGAAUUACCUCAGAUCACACCCCUUUAAUACUCGAUACUGGAAACUCGAGCACUCAGAGGAGAUUUCGGUUUGAGAGAGUAUGGCUUACUAGGUCGGACUUCACAAAUUUCGUACCAAUCUGGUGGAACGAAGUAUCUGGUCAGAGGUCUGCCAUCCUUACGCUGACGGCGAAGUUAAGACAUUGCAGAAACAGGAUGAAGGAAUGGUGUAAGACGAAAUUUCAUAGCAUAUCCAUCGCGAUAAGAUCUUUACAGGAAGAAAUUCGGAGCAUUGAUCUUUUGGAGGAAAGGAACAUCUUGACCCAGGAAGUACGGGAUAAACGAGUUGACCUUAAAGCGCAGCUCCAACUCAUCUUAAAGGAAGAAGAAAUCCUGUGGAAAACGAGAGCUAAACAGCACUGGCUAAAGGAAGGAGACAGCAAUACAAAGUUUUUUCAUGCAGUGGCCAACGGGCGGAAGCGUUGUAAUGAGAUUCACUCUAUUGAAGAUGAGGACGGAAGACAAUUCAGUAACGAAGAGCUUAAGAAAUCCUGUUUCUUUCAAUCCUUUAAACGUCUUUUCGAAAGUGUGGAAGAUGACCCGCCGUCUUUCGGCGACUGGGCCGACCUGUAUCGUGGAGACGUCUCACUUGACACGGAUUCCCUCACAAGCCCCUUCACUAUAGAUGAAAUUAAAAAGGCGACUUUUCAACUGGGAAGUGACAAGGCGCCUGGUCCCGACGGCUUCCCGCUAAUUUUCUUCCAACACUUCUGGGAAACAGUAAAGGAUAACAUUCUUGAUAUAUUCAGAGACCUUCAUAGCGCGAAUCUCUUUACGGCACCGGUCGACUACACGUACGUAUGCCUAAUCCCCAAAAAGGAAGGAGCACGCCUGGUUAACGAUUUCAGACCGAUCUGCCUUCUGAACGGAAUACAAAAGAUUAUCUCGAAAGUUCUUGCGAACAGACUUGCGGGGGUAUUACCUUCUAUCAUCUCUCCUUCACAAUCAGCGUUCCUGGAAAAUCGACUAUUAGCUGACUCGUUCGUCACUGCGAGUGAACUUCUCAACUGGUGUGCAAAAACUAAUAGGGAGUGCGUCAGUGUUAAGGUGGAUUUCGAGAAAGCUUAUGACAAAGUCAGCUGGAGGUUCUUGCAAAGUAUAUUACGAUGGCUUGGGUUCAGUGACAAAUGGUGGAACUGGAUUGAACAAUGUAUCGGCAACGCUAAAGUUGCAAUCUUAGUAAACGGCUCGCCGACUAACUGGAUGAAAACAAGGAGGGGACUGAGACAGGGGGAUCCACUAUCCCCCUACUUAUUCAUUUUAGUGGCUGACUGUCUGGCUAGGGUCACGAAAGCAGCAAGGGCUAACAGUUUACUUCAGGGAAUAGGACCCACAGACGAAUGUCAAACAGUAAUUCUGCAGUAUGCGGACGACACUUUAUUCUUCGCAAAGCCCAAGAAGUCUGCUAUGCGCAAUCUACUCUUCAUCUGGAAGAUGUUUGAAUGGGCAUCUGGUCUUAAGGUAAAUAUGAACAAGACGGAGCUUUACCACUUAGGUAUCACCGCUAACAGAGCGAAACGAUAUGCGGAUAUUUUGGGGUGCAGAGUCGGUAGCCUACCGUUCCGCUACUUAGGCCUUCCGCUACAUAUCAACCCCCUUCGUAAGGAAGAGUGGAUGCCGAUCAUCAACCGCAUCGAGACGCGCAUUGAAGGAUGGAAGGCAAAACUCCUCUCUCAAGGGGGGCGACUCAUCUUGGUCAACUCGGUUCUUUCAAAUCUUCCGUUAUUUUACUUCGCAAUCUUCAAAGUACCGCAAUGGGUGCUGAAACGAAUUGAAGCGCUUAGAAGAUCUUUUUUCUGGAAAGGGUGUUCCAAAAUUUCGGGUGGGUCUUGCCUCGUUGGUUGGAAAACGAUUUGUAGGAGCAAAAAAGAAGGAGGUCUAGGGAUAAAAGACAUGGAAGCGACGAAUAAGGCGCUUUUAGCAAAAUGGUGGUGGCGCUUAUUCAACGAGAAAGGUCUGUUAUGGGGGAAGUUGAUCAAUGCAUUAUAUUACACCAGAAGAAGGCCGCUAUGUGAAGGCAGAUCCUUCAGACCGUACUCUCAGUGGUGGAGAAGUGUGAUGAACUGUCGAGACGUGUUCAAGUGCGGUGUUUCAUAUGUCCUCGGUGAUGGGAAAAAUAUCAGGUGGUGGUCGGAUAUUUGGAUCGAUGAAACCCCUCUCAGUACCCGAUUUCCACGAAUCUUCAGCAGUAUCAUACAUCAGGAAGCCACGGUCUCACAAUGUUGGAACGGAAGAGGAUGGAGAUGGCGCUACUUAACCAGAGGCUAUGAUACUCGUACCAUUGGUCAGAACUGCCAACAGACGGCGUUGCUCAAAAACCUUCUCUCUCACUUUAGCCCAUCAGAUGCACAGGACAAACUAAAGUGGCGGUGGACUACCAACCAAAUUUUUACCGUCAAAUCUCUCUAUGAAUUCAUCACCGACGGAGGACAGACUGAUACCUCGUACGACCACCUAUGGGGCUUAAAAAUCCCACUCAAACACAAAGUUUUCAUUUGGAUUCUACUACGAAAGAGAUUACCUACGGCAGACAGAUUGCUUCGCCGAGGAUGCAUCGUGGAUCAGCAAUGCAGGUUUUGUGUGUCACUAACUGAAACCGUCGACCACCUAUUCCACGACUGUAUCGUUGCCAGAUUUUUUCGUUUUAAAGCAAGAGUUCUAGAGGAGGAGAUUUCGGAAGUGGGGGAUGUUUGCCACCUGUGGACACUGAUCUCGGACAUACCCGUGGCCGUUACAAGAUCAAAAUUGUUAACCAAGCUGGCGGCAAUUUGGUGGGUCGUUUGGACGGAGCGCAACGGCAUAUGCUUCCGCGACGUGGCCUUUAAUGUUUCCAGGGCUCUCGAACGUGUCGCCGUUUUGACCGAAGCCUGGAACGAAGCACUUUGAUUAUCCUCCGGGCUGGGUGCCCUGCCCGUGUCUCCCCUUUGCUGAUUUUGGUUUGCUCGUGUCUACUGGGUCUCACGGACCUGGUUUUUUUCUCUUAUUUAUCUCCUUUCUUCCUUUCUCUUGUUCCCUCGGUUCGGAGGCCCUAGCUGCUUCCAAUUUGUAUGCUAAAUUCAUUUUGCUUAAUGAAUGAAGCAGGUAGCUUGCUACCUUUUUCUCAAAAAAAAAAAAACAAAGUGUCUUUGAUAAACGAAAAGCCAGUGAACUCCGUAGGGAACAUUUGAUCACAUGGGAGAGCACGCUCUAAUCAAAUCAUCUUCCCCGGCCAAAUGUUUCUCCAGCUAAAUAUUUUCAUCUUUUUUUUAAAAAAAGAAAAGAAAAGAAAAUUGAUAGAUGAAUGGGCAAGUAAGGUCAUUCCUUGUGAAAUUCUCUCGACAUAAAAAUUUGAUGAGAUCGAUGGAGAAAACAAUAAGAACGAUAAGAAAUUUAUUGGUUCGGCAAAUCCUUUCAAGGAACUCUCUCUCAGGGAUCUCUCUUUUCUCUCCGACGACAAUUUCACAUGGAGGUUGUAAGUUGUGGAAUCUAAAACAAUGGUUUCGAAACAUAACACUCCAUAACAAGUUUCAGCAUGCAUGCCAUGUUCUGGAACUUAAGUUGUUAGUUCCGGAACAAAGCUCACAUUCUUGAACAUGAAUGAGACGUUCUUGAACAUGAGUUCUCAGACUAGCCUCCAACGCCUUCGGAUUCCACGAACCGUUGCCUCAUAUUCCCAAACACACUUUAUACGAUUUCGAAACAUGAAUCUUGUGACCUGAACACUCGACUCUUGAUCAAUAUUGAAUCGACUCGAAACGUGACUUCACCUCGAUCUAACAAGAUCAUUCCUAAGAAUGAUCAUUCUUACUAUAAAUUUACUAGUAUCUCUAAUCACUGUACUUCCAACUACGUCUGUUUUAGUAUGAAUUGAAAUGCAUUUAGCUACAAAUAUAGCAAACCUAACCCACUCCUCUUUAAAUAUAUAUAUCUCAACACUUUGGAAGCUUAACAAGCCUUAACUAUGGUGUAUGAUUUUGAGGGUUACAGUUAAUGACAACUUGUUAGCUCGAGUGGCGUGAGCCAAUGGCUCAAGUUGCAUUAGAAAAACAAUGAUAAAGGUCCCAAGUGCAUUGCACCUUCAAAAUAAGACACCCCCCUGCGGGAAAACAUAUGCGCAUUUUCGCAUUAAUUGUUGUACUCUUCUGACACGAAUAUUGUGGCGUUGAUUGUUUCCGUGUACGUAAGAGAUCAUGUAAGUAAUAUCAAUCAGUAAUCUGUAACGUGCAGAUGAUUAAAUUAUUCGACAUUUGUAUCGGUUGCAGUUUAAAUUUCGAGUAUUCUUUCCCGUUACGACAGAAAAAUGAAAAGUUCGAUCUUGAGAUUUCCGAAGGCGGAGAAUACUUUCGAUUUAAUCCAUACCACCGUAUAGCUUAAGAUUUCCGUCGAUCCUCCUACGUUGAUUCCUGCACCACUUUAUGUCCAUUUCUUUCUUUGAUGAUUCCUGCAUCUCUUUUAUGUCCAAUUCUUAGUUGUCCCCUUUCCUUGGUACUUACAAGGCAAGAUACACAUGUGCAACAGAGAUAAAGAGAGAUGACACAGAGAAAUCAAGAACGAAACUGGAGGGAUUAAGGUCGAUAGGACGAUCUGUUUGAGCCUCUUUUCACCCCCUCCUCGAAGGCGAAGAGAGCGCAGAUAGGAGGAGCAAGAGAGGAAGGUUUGAUGGCAGGUCAUUUCGGCUCGGAUGCAGUGCUGCUGGUGGUGGUGCUGGCGGCAAUUCUUCUACUGCUCCCUUUGGUGCUUCCUCCGCUGCCGCCGCCACCGUCGCUGCUCCUCUUAGUGCCCGUCGGGAUGGUGCUGCUGCUCGCCUUUCUCGCUUUCGCCCCCUCUCACAACACCUUCGGAAACGCAAACUUUCCGCAAUGAAACAAAACAUCCAUCGGUACGUAUCUCGCGACCGCAAACACCUCUCAUUUGUCUCUUUUCCUCUUUCACCUUUACUUCCAGAAGCAUUAAAGGAAAGGAGAGGAAAGAUGAUAAAAAUGGAAAGCGACUAAAAGACAGAUUCCUUCUUAUCACUUACUGAUUAUUUGUUGGUUCUUCUACAUCAAAUACUAUUUCCAUCAAUGUUGUAUUUGAUUCUUCCCCUCAUAGGAUGAGUGAAUUAUUUUCUGGGAAGAGGCCUUAGGGAGAACUUUUGCUCUGCCCACGGCCAAAGAUCAAACACAAAUUUACAUGUGAAGAGGAAAUAAAUGGGAGAAGGGAACAAAAAGGGAGGCGCCCGUCGGAAGCAGGAUGAAAUAUAACCCCUACCCUUGGAGCAGCUGCGGUGGUUGCGAUUGUUCGGGCGGACUCUGCAGCGGAGUCAAGCAAUAGAGGAAUAAGCCGGCAACGAGAACUGCAGCACCAGCAACGAAGCCCGCUGGGAGCGAUGACGCCACUCCGAUGUAUGGUAAGGGCAGUGUGAAUGCGUAGAUGGACAACGGAACUGCACCACAACCAUCAUCAACAAACUGUUACAUUUUCCACUUAAAAUGUACCUGGUUUUGAAAGGUAGAAGGGAACGGCGGAAGAAAAGAAAACAGAGAAAGACCGGUGCUACUAGUUAGAUUUGUUUUCAUUGACAUUUGCAAAAGUAAUUGAUAUGUUGAUCUUCUGUAACUCCGCAAAUGAUCGUUAUGAACAAAACAAUUCAUAUCUUCCGAAAUCAAAACAAGAGAAGCUAAUUGAUUAUACAAAACGUGCCGAGUAAGACUUCACCAUCAGGUAGCAUAAGGAGCUCGAGAAAAUUAAAGUAUCAUUUUGUCACCCAGGGCAUACCAAUUUAGACUAUUUUAUCUCUGAAAUCAAAUGGAGAAUAACAAACGAAGCUGAUUUAAUUAUUUUUGUCAUAAUAGUAACUAAAAAGGAACCUACGAUGUCAGUGAGUAAAAAUACCCAAGCUUUUACCCGGAUCAGAACCUGAAUGAGGCGGUUUUAACCGAACAUAAUUAGGGACAGUUUCAGUGAUCGGAAAGAAAUUAACAGAUAAGGCAAGGAAAACAGAUAGCAGUUACAUAGAGAGAGAGUAAUGGGAAGACCAGAGAGCUAACCUGAAAAUGUGGAAGCAAGGCAAGAUACCACUGCAGAAGACAUUUUGAGAAGGUGUAGCAAAGAUAUGUUGAAUGCCAUGUUAACUAUUACAAAGAGAAGCGGCAGCAGCGGUGCUCCUUCACAUCCUGCAAGAAACCAUCAUUAUUAGGAACUUUAGUUGGAAAGAAGGAAAAAGAACCCAGCAGAAGCUGAUGUGAAAUAUGAAUUGUGAUAAGUACCAGCCGAUAAUGAUCCUAUAUUGAGAAAACAAGCUGCACCAUCUCUUAUGUAUGUAGGCAGGAGAUGGAAUGGAACUCCCCACAACUUAGACAAAAGGGGUAGAAGAAGACAUAUAAAGAAUGCCUGCAAAAUAUCAUUUUUAAUUGUUAAGAAAGUUCAAAUUCCAAUUGAAAUUUGGGUUUCAAGUUAUUGUCAAAUAUGGUAGGCACCUGGUAAGCAGAUCCGAACGAGUUGACAACAAAAAGAUCAACCGUUCCUCCCUGUGGUAUGCAGAUUUUGCUUGUUAGGAAGCAUUAUAAGUAUAAAACACAAACGAAGAAUUGAAAAGGUAAUAUACUGAUAAGUGAAUAGUGACAAUAUUUUGCUAUCAUAACUUCCGAGAAAGAUGAUUAUGGCCAAGAUUGGGAAUAAUUCUCCCAGUGCAGCAGCUUUGAGUUUUUAAAUCACCAUACAAAUCUGAAAACGCCUGAAAGCUCCAUAUCUUCCUAUGUGCCCAAUAACACCGAAAAUGUGGCUGGACAUUAGAUUGAUAUUAAUACUGGAAGGCUGGAGAUCUAAAUUGCUUUCAGAUUUUUAUGGAGCUCCAAAGUACCCAAAAUGGCUGCUACAGGAGAAGCAAUCAUAAUCAAGUCCUGUAUAGUGCAACACAAAGAGAUCAAUAAUACCAACGAGUGUACCUUCAGCUUCUUUGCAGCAUCCAAGAAUAUUAUCUCCUACAGAUUAACAAUGUUUGACUGCAUCAGAAAAAACUUAUCUUAACAACUUGGGGUAGUGGAUAUAAUUUCUCAUAUCUACUUCGGUAGUUUUGAUACCUUCAAAACUGUGUCGGCAGCUUGAAACAAAAAUGAAGUAAUCAUCAAAAGGGGCCAAAAUAUCCCAGAGCCUUUAAGCGAAACGCUUGCACCAGAUCCACUGCAUAUGUCAAAGUGAAAGUACUAAUAGUAGAAUGACUCAGAAUUAUAGAAAGUAUUUACUAAUUUCUACUCAUAGCAUCAGAACAGGGUAUCUCUAUAGCACUUCCACUUUUCAUCAAACCGGCCGAUUUUAGGGAAGCACUUCCAAACUAGACCUUAAGGUACUAACUAUUUUCUGGUCAUGCUACCAAUUAUGCAUCAUGCAUCAUAUGGAAAUAAUCAUCAAUAUAGAACAACUUACUGCAAGGAAGAGUACAUGUCCCUGCUAGAAGUGCAAUGCAGCUGACAACUGUUUUAGCAUGCUUGCAUAAUAUGGUCCUUGAACUCAUCAUGAGUAAUUAUAGAAAAUCUGGUAAUAGAGUAAGAAUUUCUAUUUAUUGCUUACAAAUAAGUGAAUCAACUUUCAGUAUUUCAGAGGAUGCUUAUAAAUAGUUCAGAAGCUUCUCAUUUACAAAGCCAAUGCGAACAGGGCGAACAGGGCAAUUUCAGUUAUUAUUAUAACAAAAACUCAAGAUUUGAAACAUUUCUUUCUUCUUUGUGCGUUAUACGGUCAAUGAUAUGUUACUGAAUUCAUAUUCGCUGAAUAUACCUUGCUACAGUUAUAAUGACACCAAUAGCAACAAGUAAGCAUCCUAGUAGCUGGUUGGACUUGUAUCGUCUCCUCAGAAAAAUAACCGACAAGAUAAGCUGCCAAACAAGAAAGGUCUGCAAAAAGAAACAUUACAAACUAUUAAUUUUGAAAUACACAUAUACCUGAAAUCAUAAAGGAUGUAAAACAGUGAAAAGUUUAUUCACCUGCGAUAGUAUUGGAAUUGAAGCCCCGGAAAGAACAGCUGCUCCAAGAAAGAGUGAGCAAAUCAAACCAAGUAUGAUAAGUAUUAGAAAUUAAAAUUGAUUCACUUUCACAAAAGAACUCCGAAAAAUGGGGGAGAGGUUAAAAAAGAAAAAGAAAAAAAAUAUACUGAAACUCAUGGGAUCUAACAACUUUGUGUGUGUGUGUGUGUGUGUGUGUGUGUGUGCGCAUGUGACAAUUUGUACAUGGACAAUAGCAGACAAUAAAUUGGCCAGAUAUCACUGUAUACUUUAUAGUGUCAAAUGUCACUAUGAAUUGGAAAGCAGUGCGAUAACAACUUGUACACAUGUCAUAACAUGAAGAAUUAAAAGUGUCAAAUUGAUUUUAUCUACUUUGUGUGCAUCGAAAGCAUUUUGAUUUAGCUUCUAGAAUUUUGUCUACUACAUGUUUACAUGAGGAACAGACAGAUUUACCAGCUCAGUUGUACUGCAGAUGUAUCCUUUUAGAAUAGGAUAAAUGAUGCAUGUAUGAUUGACUACAGAAAACUAAUAAACUUUCAAAAAUGAACUUUACCUCCAGCUGCCAUGCCAGAUGCGGCUCCUAGAGCUUCUAGCAGUCCUACAGCUAGAAACGGCGUCUUUGGUAGAGAAAGCAUUUCAUGGGUUACAAUGCCAGCGUGAUAGCGAAUAUACAGGAUGGAGAAGUACACAACCACAUAUCUGGUAUUCAAAAGUACGCAUGUAGCCAAAUUAGAAAUAUCACUUACCAAAAUGUGAAUAGAUGAAUGAGUUCAAAUUUUGUAGUACAUUGUGAGUGAUAAAAGCAUGCUAACGCUAAGUUUGGUUUUUGGUUAACUAACAGAACAAUAGGUCAUAUACAAACUAAGCGAUACCCCCAAGUUUCAAACCAUCUAGAAACUCGUUAUACUAAACAAUAUUCUUUUUAGCAUAUAAUAACAUGACCAAUUACAUGAUCUAAUUAUCACCCCAGGAUUUCGAUAUCAUUCGAAUGCAGAUCCGGUUCACGAGUUGGUCAAACCGGUUGAUAGAGCCAUUGGGUCGUCGAACCCGAAAGCUAUGGUCGAGAGAGCUGCUACUCAGAGUCUCGGAUCAACCAAUUGGUAAAAUAACUAGUUGCCUAGUUAGGAUCAAUCCCCUGUUAGAAUCAUACCCUUCCAAUUUAAAAUUGUACUCGGAAUGCUCUCUCUCGAGGACAUAGGCUCCAAAACAAAUGUUUAUCCACCACUUUUAUGUCAUGAAUUUAAUGAAUUAUUAAGAAAGAAGAGUAUAGUUCAAUCUAAAGUACAUCUCAAAUUUCUGGAGUUUCAAUGUCCUUUUUCCGCUGGACAAUGUAGAACACAUUUGGCAAGGGCUGCUCUAAUUUUAUAUUUUUCACAAAAAAAUCAAACAAUAUUUUAAGCUUGGAAUUAUAUUUCUAUGAUAAAAAGCAAAGUAAACGUGUUAAGAACACGCUUACGCACAUGUAAAAUUGCAGCAUCCGUGAUAUUUAAGAGGCUACAAUCAGAUGCGCACUAAUAAGCUUUUGAGUGGUACGAGUCCCACAUUAUUUCAACUAAGAAACAACUUGUCUAUGCGUAACAGGAUGGUCAGACUUGUUGCCUGCUGGUGGGUCAUUUGGACGACCAGGAAUGAUGCAAUUUUUAGUAAGACCGAGCCGGACCCCCUACGUGAUGUCUAUAAGAUUAAACAGUUGACGAACCUGUGGGAGCAUCAUAUCACAGCUAAGAAGUAACAACAUAUCACCCUUUUUUUUUCACCCUCCUCAAGACUUCGGAUGCCUCACCCUUGUAAUUUAAUUCAUCCUUUUAAUGAAUGAAGUAACAUGUUAGUUUUCCCUCAAAAAACAAACAACUUAGUCAAUUUUAUGUAUUUUUCUCAAAAGACAAAACAUUUUUUUUCAAUAUUAAUUAAUUGUGCAUUAAUUUAUGAAAGUCAUAGGAAAUGGGAAAUGGGAAAUGGGAAAUGGAAGGUGCGUAACGGCUUUUCGCAGCCGCAACGCGCCACGCCACACGUUCCGUUGCUCGACACAACGACACACGACGAGCUCGAACGUGCCAAACAAAAUGUGGGGCCCAACGACACGUGCUCUUUCUUUUUCUUUUUCUUUUUCUUUUUUCCACUUCUUCAUCUCACGACAAUAUCAGAAAAUUUCUAAAUAUAAAUAAUUAGUUUUAAUAGUAAUUAUAAUCCGCUCUUUUUAUAGAUUUUUGUUUAAUAAUGAUUACAAAAUUGGGGAAAAAAAUUGGACAAAAAAGCGACCACAUACAGUCCUAUCAAGUCGCACGUGGACACGUGUACGAUAACGGAGAUCGACACAGCACUUUUAACCGCCGUUAUUUCCCUCGGGAACAAAUCAACCUACUCUUUCUCACGGUACAGCUACGCCGUUAAUGACACUUCAGACGACAAAAUUAAAAAGAAAAAAAAAAAAACAUUGCACCACGAGUGUCCAAAAUUAAUCCAAAUCUGAUCGAUGUUUUAACAUUUAAACUAAAAUUUCUAAAUAAUUAUUUUUAAAAGUAUUUACUUAAUCAAGAGAAAUUUACACAUUUUAGCAUUAAUAGUUUACAAGAAAAAGAAAGCAAUUUCCAAAACUUAAUUACAGCAAAAUGAGAAAAAUUAGACCGAAUUAUUAUCCAAAUUAAAUUUGAAAAUUAGAAAAAUAAGGAGGAGGAGGAGGAGGAGGAGGAGGAGGGAGUGGUGGAAACACNAAACAUUUUGUACUACCAAAUGUUGGAUAUAUAUAUGUUUACAUUCAGUAUUCUCUAUUACUAACUAAUUUGGUGUUCUUGCGUUAUUAGUGUAGUGGCUUUUUAUUUAUAUGAAAUUUCUUCACACAUGUGACUCUGGAUGAGAUCUGUGAUGCACAUAUAAAUCACAAAUAAGGGUCAGGGGUAUCAAGGAUUUUAGUGCUCGUCACCACAAGCUGUCUCUACUUUAUUAUACUAUGUUGACAAAAUAUUGACACGAUACAAUUUCAUGCCAAAGGCACGUACGGCUCAAACCCUCUUUUUUUUUUUUUUUUGUCACAUUAGCAAAUAGUUAUCUAAACUAGGAAAGAUCAGAUAAAAAUAAAAUUAAAGCAUGAAAUCCUUUAUGCUUCCUUCCUAAAGCUCUCUACCCAACUUGGGAGAGAGCUUCUAGAGAGAGGGAGAGAAAUGAGAGAGGAGUGUAAUAGCUGUGAGAGAGAGAGAGAGAGAGAGAGAGAGAGAGAGAGAGAGGGUGUUGGGAUCUUUUUAUAAGUUGUUACAAUAGCAAAAAGGCCCUCAUUUUUUUUUAUUUACAGCAAACCUAACCUGCUGUUUCGCAGUCGGCAUACCGGUACGCGGGCAAUUUGUCACCGGUACGCUCCCGCGCAGCUGCCGAGAUUCGAGACCUGAUGUUCUCGGUCUGGCGUAGGGUAUCAGUACUCGGGAAAAUAGUCACCGAUCAAUAGCCUUGACGGAGGCUAACCCGAGAGCUGCUACUCUCGGUCAGCUGCUUGGUGCCGGUACUCUUUGAAAUAGUCACCGGUUAACAAUGCUUCAAAAUUUUCGUUUUACAUUAUUUCGACUUUAUUUCGCACCGAGUAAUAUUAAAACCUUUUUAACUCACUUGGAACUCAACUUUGACCCUUCCAACAUUAUUGAAAUGCUAAUUGGAUUUUGUCCAAUUAUUUCUCUCGCACACUUUAGUCGAUUUGACUAAAAUUCGAUAUACACUAUCGAGGCUUCGGUAUAUUACACUGGACGUAAUGUCGUUUAAGCUGCUCCAUCGCCCGAAGGGAGGGCUCGUUGCGGCGACCGUAGGGGCCGAUGGCGACCAUUCGGGGCUUGUACAGCACCGUGUUGCGCUCCCGGAUGAAGGCUGCGACGCGGAAGAAGGUGAAGUUCUUAUCCGCGGCCGUCGGCUCAUCGCUCAAGGCGCGUUGUUUAUGCCUGGCUCUCAGCAGGGACUUGGACUUGGGAAUAUCUAGUGCCACUUCCACUCCUUCCAUCGUCAACCUGUACCAGAGGUUCUCAAACUCUCACGAAUUUAUUGGUGCAGAAAAAAUAGGAUGAAAGAGUCCUCCCUCGGCUUAUCUAUAUCCGCAGCUAUGUUAGUUAACUCACGAAUUAUUCGCGAAUUUUUGAAAAAACAAAUUAAACGGCCGAAUACGUAUUUUUUCGAAAAAUUCGAAAAAAAAGUGAUUUUUUGACUAAAAAAUACGGAUUCGCGUAUUAUAGGGCGAGCCGUAUUAUUCGGCCAAAAGAAACUGCUCACACCCGCGCAGCCCGUGCCUGCCCCCGCCGCUCGUGCCUGCCCGCGCUCCCGCGGGCUCCCGCACGCGCGCAUGGGCCGGCGUGCCCAAAACAGUGAAAUGCCAAAAAAAAAAAAAAAACUCUCCAAACACCUUGCCUAAGACCCAAAAAAAAAAAAUUUUCUUUUCAAAUUUUUACUUAAUUAAUUUAAUUUUAUAGCUAUUUAUUUUUAUAUUUUUUAAAAAAUAUGAAUAUUUAUACUAAUAGCAUAAAUUUUAAAAAAAAAAUAAUUUAAUAGCCGAAUUUUUUAUCCUGAAUUUUUAAUUGGUAAACGUAUAAUAUCCGUAUAAAUCACGUAUCCGAAUAAUUGAUGAAUCUAUUUUUUAGCCAUACUUUUCAACGAAUUUAAAAAUUAGAAAACGAAUUUUAUCCGAAUUAUAUCCGUACCAAAUUUUUACCGAAUCCGAAUUAACUAACUAUGAUCUGCAGACGCAGAGCACCCUGGAUUGGGACAGAAAUUAUUCGGAGAUUUGAAAUUCAAAAAAAUAAAAGUGUAUAUUUGAGCCCGUCGAACAUAUCGCUAUUUGGACGUUAGAUUUCACAUCUCGAGUAAAAAUCUAAUAUAUAUUUAAAAAUCACAAAAAAAUAAAAAAAUUAAAUAGUUUUUUAGAUAAAUUUUUAGUUUCAAAACUUAGUAUCAAAUUAAUUUUCAAACUCUUAAUUUUAAAAUUUUUAAAAUUCUUAAUUAUUUUAUGUUAGAUAUAUUUAUAUAAUUUUUAAUACUAAUCUUUUUUUUUUGAGAAAAAGAUAAUAUAUUAUCCCCUUCGUUCAUUUUUUUUUGAAAAUAAACUUACACAGAAUUAUGAAAUAAUUAGGUUCUAAACUUAGAACUUCAGUUACCAACCGCCAAGUCUUUUGUCAAUUACACUAGAGACCAGCGGUUAUUAGUGGAUUUACAUAAAAAUUAUUAUUAUAUCAAAAGUCUGCAUAAUUAUUUGUCAUUAAGUUUUGAAACUAAAAAUUUCAAAUUUCUUUCUAGUAAUUGUUUUAAUAUAUGUAAAAUUAUUUAAAUUAAUUGGUGCUGAGUGCUGAAAACUAAUUAAAUAAGGUGUCUCGAAAUAUGAGAUUAGUGCACACGGGAAGAUAAAUUUUACAUUCGUAAAUUCAUAAUUUUUUUUCUUCACCCCUUUUUGACUUUUAUUCCCUGUGGUGCUUUCUUUUUUUUUCUUUUUUGUUGAGAGAAAGAUAACAUAUUAAUUAUUUUGUUUAUUUUUUUAAAAUAAAUUUAAUUAAAAAUGUGAAGCAACUAUAAUUGAAAUUUUAAAUUUUGGAUAUCAAUUACUAAACCUUUUGCGCAGCAGCUGGGACGUUUUUAAGCCCUCGGAGCUAUAUUUAGGGAUGUCGAUGGGUAUAGAUACCAAAAAUUUUAUCCGAAUCGACCCAAAUGAAACGGAUAUAUCCGCUGGAUAUGAAUAUGAAUUCGAAUAUAGAUAUGAAAAAUAGAAACCCGACGAAUAUAUAUUCGGAUAUGGAUUUUGAUUGUGCCUGACCUAACCCGAACCCGAUCCCGAUCCCGAUCCGAGACCGAAUUUAUUUUGUAUUAUAUUAUAUAUAUAUAUAUAUAUAUAAAUUUGAUGUUAUAUUUGAAUUUAUAUUUCAAAAAUUUAGAUUUAAUAUAAUAUAUUUUAAAAUAUUGAAAAAAAAAUAAUUGUUUCGGGUUCAAAUUUUAGGGUUCGGGUUCAUGCUCGGGUUUCGAAUUUUUGGUCGGGUUCGAGUUUGGAUAUGAAUAUUUAAAAUCCGUCGGGUUUGAGUUCAGGUUCAGAUUUCGGGUUUGAAAUCGGGUUUGGAUUCGGAUUUUUAAAAAUCCACCCCGAAUCCGAUCCAUUGACAUCUCUAACUAUAUUAGCUGUUGGAGAUCGAUUGGGAAAAAUACACAGUAAUGAUCUUACUCCAAAGUGCAUCUUCUUUUCUUGUGCACGUGUUAUAUGAAAACGAAUAAAAUAUUAUUUAAAAAUAUUUGUAUUUAUAUAUGAUAUUAUUUAUAUUUGGAUAGAAAAUAUUAAAAUAGAAAUGAUUAUGAUUUUAAAAAAAUUAUAAUUAUUCAGAUAUUCAAAAAAUGAAUAUAGAUAUGAAUAACCAAAUAUUUUAAUAGUAUUAUAUUUUAUAGUAAUAAAUUAAAUUAUAAUAUUAUUUGAUUCCUAAUAUGUGUGUGGGAAAUAAAUAUUUAAGAAAAGCAAAGAGAAUUUGAAUUUGUUUAUGCAUAACUUAAUUCCUGUAUAAAUUAGAUUUAUAGAUCACUUGCACAGUUGCACUAGAUCAAAUAUCUUAUUUUGAGACAAACGUAGUACAUCAUCUGCUUCAUUUAUAAAAAAAAAAUACAUUAGGUUAUAACGAGUGAGGUAACUGUGCCUCGAGAUAAAGUGUGAAAUAAUAAUAAUAAAAAAAAAACUACAGUUGUUUUUUUUUUUUUGAGAAUAAGAUAGCAAGCUAUCUGCUUCAUUUAUUAAGCGAAAUGUACUAAGCGUACAAGUUGAAGACAGCUAGGGUCUGCUAAAAGGUCCGAACGGAUACAAGAAAGACCGACAAACAGAUACGAGAAAGGCCCAAAAAAAAAAAAAAAAGUUGAAGGGUCAAGGGAUCUCAGUUGUUGAAAUCAACAUGUUCAUAGCUAGACUGUGCGAUCAUUGGAGUCAGUUCAUCAGUACUCGCCCGCAGUACCCGGAUCUCAUCCCACAACCUCUCUAAACAUCGCAGCCUCUCUAAAUAUCGCAUAUGAAAUAGCAACCGACGAGAAUCAACUCUUUGGCCCUAAAAAUGUCUUUUGUUUUUCUCCAACCACGGGACCCAAUAAGUGGCAGCAAUAACGGAGAACCCCUUUUUCCACCGAGUGGCAGCAAUAAUGGAGAAACCCUUCUUCUUUGUUGUGCCCUCCUUCGAUCUAAACAGCUUCCAGAGCAGCUCCAACCACAGCUCCCGUCACAGGACCCACCAGAUCAAAUAUUACAGUUGCGUACACCAAUUUAAAAUUUGAAUAUACAUAUAUCAAACUUAAAUUUAAAUUUGGAUCUAUUAAUCCUUCUGAAAUCAAAGUUUAUUUCUCUUUCUACGGCUGCAACUAAAUGAGAAUCGAAAUGAAAUCCUUUCAAAUCAAAUAAAGAUAAUAGAAAUCAGUUGUUCUAAUUCCAGAUGAGCAUAAAUCUGACAUAUUUUCCAAUCCAGAGAUCAACAAUUUUACACUGGUCUGAUCACUUGAGCGUACAAGCAGAGUAUCCCCUGAGGCAAACUAAUUCCUAGGAUGGUAGUAAGGGAAGAUGGUGUAGAAGGUCUGCAGGAAGGUGAAAACAAGAACGAAAACUGCUGCGAUCAAGGAAAGGAUGGCCCACGGGUUGCCGAAAUAGUCCCUGACCAGCUUCGCCCUCCACUUGGGCCAAUCGGAAUCGCAGUACUUCCUCACGUCCCGGAACAACCCGGCGAGGUAGUGCUUCUCGAAAUCCAUGGCGGCGCAGUCGGAGAGCUGGUUGAAGAACACCGCCAGCUCCUUGUCGCUCGCCAGCUUGUUCUCCAGGAUCCCGCUCUGGUGGAGUAUCGCGACGUCUGCCGGCGUGUCGAUGAUGCAGUCCAUGAACGUCGCGUAGCUCGUCAUGUACGCCUCCUCCGGCUUGCACCCGCCGCACUGCUCGAAUGCCACGAGGUUCGUGAACCGCGAUAACGUCGAGUUCUCCACCGAGAGGAAUGGGAUCUCGAGCACGCCGUCGUGAAAUGCGACGUCCAGGAACGAACCGGGAUGAUGCUGAUCACUCUCGUUCCUUUUCCUCUUCUCGCCCUUCCUCUUAAACGUCACUCCGGCCUCCUCGAGCUCGGUCGCGGACGGGAUCGUAUUCGGCGAUCGUUUCUUAUCCGCCGGCGCCUGCGAUCGGGAAAUCUUUAUUCGGAGAUAAGAGAGGAGGGAGGCGAAGAUCUUAGUCGGGUUUAACCAUUUGAGAAUAGUACCGCAGAUGGUACUGCCCCUCGGGUCAGUUUGUGGUUUCGUGAUGUAGCAGCGGUAGUAGAGAUGCAACAGGUGGUGGAAAUCUUUGGCUUCGCCGUGCACCGAAACGGCGGCGGAGACGCGACUGGCGAGCAUCUCUUCCUCGGGCCUCUCGACGUUUCUGCUCGCGAGGUAGUUCACGAGAAGCUCCAUCAGGGAGGGUAUCUCCUCGUCGUCCAUGGUGAACGUGACGAGCUCGAACAGCUUCUCGAGCACGAAGAGGGGGAUCUGGUUCUCGAGCAGGAGCAGGUCGCCGCGCACGAGCGGCAAGCUCCAUCCGGCGGUGCAGACGCUGUCGUCGUCCCCCUGGCUCCACUUGAUGAUGAACUCGAGGACGAAGCACCCGUCGAGGAGCAGCAUCUCCACGAACGCAUCGGCGCUGAGGUCGACGGGCUCGAAGUAGCACCGCCGCGCCCGAGGCUCCAGCACCCUGAUCUCGGCUAUGUAGUGAUCGAUGCAGUUGUAGGGGUUGCGGGAGAGGAAGUCCUGCAGGUAGCGCCACUUGUGCUGUUCCAUGGCGCGGAGGACGGGGCCGUCGCCGCGGCCGUAGGGGCCGACGGAGACCAUCCGGGGUUCGUAGAGGUGCGUGUUGCGCUGCCGGACGUGCGCCGGGACGCGGAAGAUGGUGAAGCGCUCCAGCACCAUCGGGUCGCGGUCUAAGGCCUUGAUGUUCGACCUGACGGAGCUCAGCACGGCAUCCUCGAUGUCUACGGCGACCGCCUGUCCCUGAUCCUGUGCCAUCGCCGGCAGCUAUCCUGUGCAGUCAACGAUCGUCCUCGGUAUGUAACCUCCCUCCCUACAUUACCUGUUCCAGAUCCAGUCGGCCGGCACAGGGGGCAAUAAAUUAAGUCCUUCUAAAAAGAGUUGUUUUUCUUUCCCCUAAAAAGCUUGUAGGGGAAAUCGCACGAAAUUUAUUUGAACUGUUCCUUUUUAAAAUGUUACUAAUAUACUAUCUAAUUUUUAGUUUAUUUAAUUAUAAUUAAUUGAUAUUUUUUAAAAAAGAUAGGUUAAACUAUAUUUGUGAGGCAUCACAGUGCUAUGCAGUAUGGAGUCGAUAAUAUUCUGCAAAAUUUACUGCUUUUUUAGGUAGGCAAAGCUUAUUCCUUUUCCUGUCUUUCCGGACGUUUCCCCAUCUCUCCUCAACUUCACUCGGCCUUCGGCCCACUACGCACCGCUCGGAUGCCAAGUAUAGAUUAAUUAUUUAUUAUAAUAAAUUUAUUAUUACGAAAAUUAUAUAAAAUAUAUUAAAUAAAUUUAUAUACAUACAUAAUAUAUUUAAAUUUUGAAAGUUAAAAUAUCGUUCGCUGACUCAAAUCAAAUAAAAUUAAAAAUUGUGUGACAAAAUCAAACUCUUGAAAAAAUUGAUUAACUAAAUUAAAAUAGUUCAUAGACUAGAUAAGUUUUUAUAUUAAUUUUUUAAGUAAAGUAUACGAAAUUUAUCUGAACUAUAGAUUGUUUUGACUUGGUUUACUCAACCUUUUAAAAUUUUAAUUUUACUAUCUAAUAUUUCAAUUUGUUUGAUUUUGAGUCGGCUAACAGUAUUUUGAUUUCAAAUUUGAAUGUAUUAUUUAUUUUUAUAGGUUUAGUUAGUAUACUUUAUAUAAUUCUCAUAAUUAUAAAUUUAUUAAAUUAAAUAGUUAACUUAAAUUUUGAAGUUAAAAAAUCGUUGAUUGACUCAAAUUAAUGAAAUUAAAAGAUUAGAUAGUAAAAUUUAAAAUUUAAAAAUUUAGAUAGUCGAUUUAAAAUAAUGUAUAAUUUAGAUAAAUUUUGUAUUCUUUUAUCUUUUUUAUGCAUAUGUUUCAACUGAAAUAAAAGCAAGUAAAUGACUAGAGUGCCAUUGUCCAUUGAUUGUAAGAAGUGGGCCCUAGAUGGCUCAGUGUAGUUUCUGGUAAGACCUUAGAGUUGUAGGUUGGGUGAAUAGGAGCUCUCAAUAGGUCCUUUUGAAUGUGGUCGAUAAUCAUAAUACUUAAAAAAGUUGGAUUCCUUUCGGAAUUUCAAGUUCUCCAUCUGUUCGACUCUUAAAUGGUUCAAUUCUAAUGGUAGAGGAGACAUCUUUUUCUUUACUAUCGGUGGUUUCAUGACCAUUGAUUCAAGAAACUCGUGUUAACAGAUUUGAGUUGAAUUUUCCAUUUGGAAUGAAUGGGACUAUAUUGGAUUCACUUCUUUUAUUUUUUCCAAGAGGAAAUGGGUUUAGCCCCUAUUGGAUUCAUUUCACCAACAGAAAAGUUAUAAGAAACAUAUACCACUAGAAUUCCAAUCUCAAGUUAUCGGAUUCAUAAAUAAAAUCCACACAAAUCUGGUGAAAUCAAUCCUAAUCAUGAAGGUUCUAAAAAAAGAAAUCAAUGAUAAUUGAAUUGGAAUUAAUAAAUUGAAGGUACUCUAUGUAGAAAGUGUAAAUUAACACAGAGCAACCUAUAUUCAAGCUACAGAAACAUCAAAUUUAAAUACAAAAAAAAUGAAGGACCAAGAACGGGGUAGCUACGUAGACUAUAAUUUAUCAGUUUGUGCACUCAAGGUAAAGUAUGGACCCAUCUAUAAAAAAUUGUGUGAAAGAGAAUAGCUUUUUACAUAAGGCCAUGUUUGGUUCGACGUAAAAGUGGACCGAAAAAAAUUUUUCUCCGAAAAACAACUUAGUAGCGUGUUUGGUUGGAAGUAAAAAAUUUUUCUGGAAAAACUUAUUUUACAUAUGUUAGGAAAAACUUACUUUUCGUUUUCCGCAUAAGAGCCGCGGAAAACGAAAAGGCAGCGGCUAGCAAAACAGUAGUAGCCACAGAUACGAUUCUCAAUCAAAAAGGACAAAAUGUAAUAUGUGUUUAUGUAGCUAUCGGUCAAAAACCAUCUUCUGUGGCUCAGGUAGUGACUACUUUCCAGGAGCGAGGGGCCAUGGAAUACACUAUUGUUGUAGCUGAAACGGCGGAUUCACCUGCUACAUUACAAUACCUCGCCCCUUAUACGGGAGCAGCUUUGGCUGAAUAUUUUAUGUAACCGUCCCAAUGGUUUGGACUUGAGUAGCUGAAAAAAGAUAUACAACCUUGGCAAGAACGACGUUCAGCAAGAAUUAUGACUCAUGCUCCUUUAGGUUCUUUAAAUUCCGUGGUGGCGUAGCUACCGAGAUCAAUGCAGUCAAUUAUGUCUCUCCUAGAAGUUGGUUAGCUACCCACAUUUUGUUCUAGGAUUCUUCUUUUUGUGGGGCAUUUGUGGCAUGCGGAAGGGCCGCGCAGCUGCUGCAGGGUUUGAAAAAGGAAUCGAUCGUGAUUUGGAACCGCGCUCAUGGGAGGCAAAACAUUGCGCGUCCCCGAGGCCCUUUGGCCUUGUGGACUGUGCGAGAGGGAGGUCCACAGGGUUCAUGUGGACCUCUCUCUCAUUAUAUAUUAUAUAUAUAUAUAAUAUAUAUAUAUAUAAAUUUUAUUAUAAAUAAUAUUUUAUUAUAUAUAUAAUUUAUUUUUAUAAUAAAAAUAUUAUUAUAUAAUAUUUAUUUAUAAACUUGUAAUUAUUUAUUAUAUCUCUUAAAUAUAUAAUUAUGUAAAUGUUUAUUUAUAAUUUUAAAUAUAUUUAAUCUAUAAUAAAAAUUAUAUAAUAAUAUAUUAAGAUAAUAAUUAUUAUAUAUUAAUAAUAUAUAAAAUAAAAAAUAUUAAAUUAUUUUAUUUACUUUUUUUCCUUUCACAAAAAUCAAUCGUCAUGAAAACUAUUUUUCUUUUUUACAAACCAAACACAAACGACGUAAAACUUUUUCCCACCGAAAAUUUUUUUCCAUCGAAAAUUUGUUUUCCACAGUUUUACGUGGAACCAAACACACCCUAAUUAACAAAAGGAAAAUUCAAAAAAGAACCUAAUGCUCAGAUAAUCAAUUCAAAGUAGAAUAUCUAAGGACUUAACUUUGAAAUUAUUACAGUAGCAUUAAUUAUGACUUACAUCACAAGCUAAUAGGUAUUUUAACACAUACACAUUUAACACAAUACAUAUUUAAACUAAUGAGAAAUGACAUGUGAAAAAUACACAAUAGUAAUAUUCGCUCCAUCAGGGACGAGAUUGUUACCGAUCGUUCCUAGAGCAAUGGCAAAGGCUUGGUGGUUGGUACCCGAGACCCAAAUUCGAAUCCUACUUGAUUCACAUUUCCAGCUAAGUUUAUUUCUAAAUGAAAUAAACGAAGCGGGUAGCGUGCUACCUAUCUCUCUCAAAAAAAGGACGAGAUUAUUGCGAAAAUGUUUAGAUCUCAUGAGUAGGCCGAAUAGAUAGAUUACAACAUUGCUCUUUUCAAAACAAUUAUUCAUUGGAAACUACGAAUUUUUAUACUUCUGUAUUGGCAAACAGGAUUCCCAAUAAAUCAACAUAUGGGAUUGCUCUCGUUCGGUAGGGCCUCGCGUCGGGAUUUUGCUGUGUAAAAGGAGAAAGGUUUGAAUAAAUUAGAACUUAGUACUAAAUACUUGAAAAUGUGAUAUAGUAAUGUACCUUGAUAUAUUCAUUCCAUUCAGCAUCUGUAGCAAUUACUACAUGACAUUUAUGAUCCCAGCUAAACUUUGGAUGAUGCCUGAUGCGGUUCACUAUAUGAUAUUCACGUCUAUAAAAAUUGAAGCGCUCAAACAAAUGUUUGUGUUCAUACUGCAAGCCAGUUGAUUCAUUGAACUUGGCUACUAUGUUGCACCAAGAAUCCUCUCCACCGUGUAGUAUAUUUUCCUCCCCUCCAUUUGAAAUUUGCUCCACCAACAAACUAAGCAAUAUUUUAUCAUGCUCCUUUUCCUAUAUUGCUAAAGGCUGAUCUGUUAUUAUAAUCCUUUUUUUUUCCGGAAUUACAUUUGGCGUCUCUAUUCUAUAUGUAAACAAAAGAAAAACCAAAACUUACAAUUUAAGAAAUUGCUGCAAAAGAAAGAAAGAAUAUUAUGAUCUUAAAGGAAAAAAUAAAUUAUAACCAUCAGGAAAUAUUGAGAAAGUUAGUUCUAGCUAGUUGCAUGAGAAAUACCAAUAGCCUUAUGAUGACAUCCAUCAUAAAUAAAUUCUUCUUGCCAUUGAAGUAAAGGAAAAGUAUGCCGCUAAUAUGUCAUGAUUCUAUUAGGAAACAUGCAAACGCAACUUGUUCGUUCUGUGGGGAACAUGAAAGAGCCUGAUCAGUUGAUCAGUUGAUUAAGAUGGGACAUGCGAUUACGAGUAUGAAUUCAAUCUAACAAAUAAUUGAGCUUCGAAAUGAAGAGCAUAUAAAUCUUUUUUCAAUUGAGCUUGAGAUGAUCUCUUUUAUGUUAUGUAUAUAUAGAAACUGAAAGUUAAAAAGCUAAAGGUACGUUUGUGGUGACUAGUGAACAACUGAACUCUCAUAUGGCACCACUCCAGAUCAAAGCGGAUGAAAAUUCAUCACUGAUUUAUUUUCUUUCACAGAGAAAGAAAAAACAGAGGUCUCUAAUAUUAAA